UAGCUUUCUGAGUAAUUUAAUUAUUGAGCAAACCAAAAUCUCUUCCAUUUUUAAUACUAAUACUAAUACUUACUAUGAGCAAAGAAAAGAGAAGAGAAGGUGAACCAAAGAGCAGUCCCAAGCUGACUCCUCCAUGGGCCUCUGAAUGCCGGAUUGUUGGAUUGGUACUCCAUUGCCCAAACUAUGAACAUGGUGUAGACCAAGAGUGCACCAGUGGUUACCCACAUUUUCCUAGUGAAAGGCUUCAGGAACAUCCAUGCCUUGUGAGGUUCUUCAGACGUUACUUGUACUAUCACCAAUCCCGACUCAGCAUAUGGCACUGUGAAUUCCACUUUUUUUGAACGGGUGGCAAGUAUUGUCACAUCCCCAACCACAGCAUCAUAGGUCUUCCAUGUAUUUGAUUCACAAGAGACAGGCACAAAAUUUCUAUCAGAAACAAAUGAUUGAAACAAAUACAAAGUAUGAUUCAUGAAUUCUGAGAGUUAAUCUUCAGUACUAUGUUCACUGCUGUUUCAUGGGGAUGAAGUCAAAACCUAAUAUACCAGAAAAGUCUACUGAGCAGUCCUCUUCAAAACCUAAUAUACCAGAAAAGUCUACUGAGCAGUUCUUUGGAAGGCAUGAAAAUUGAGAAGUUUCAAGGGUUUGAAAAACCUAAUUAGGGAAAUAUAUAUUUCCACAUAAAACUUCCUUAAAUUCUUGUGCUCUUGCUGUAGUAGAACAGGCAAAUAUUAACUAGGAGAGAAAUGAGGUUCAGUCUGACUUUGAUUUUCAUUUAAACCAACCACAUGUUAAGUGGGUCAGUAAGCCAGACAAGCUUUUUUUGAGUCAUUAGAAAAGGAAGAAGGUUUACUGAUGAAAUCACAACAUAAAUCAUGGACGCAAAUGUGAAGUUGAGAUUUAAUUCCAGUGUGGGGAAUAUCAGGAUUAUUGAGAACUAUUUAAAGAGCAAAAGCUAGGGAUGGGAGUAAUUACCUUGUUGUAAACACAAUCAACCAGCUCAUCGUAUGUGCCAACAACUGGAUGGAACUCGUAGGGUAGAGAGUAGUUUUGCUCCAAAAUUUUUAACACCUCGUGGAAAAUAUCAAUACAGAAACCAGUAUAUUUUUUUUCAGGCUCGAUUUGAGCUUCGCCCACCUCCACAAAAUUUUUAAAAGUGCCGUUAGCUGGAAUUCCAAUCUUCAAUGGUUUUGGAUCAGUGGGCAUUUCCCAUCCCUUGGGGACACGUUUUAGGUACCCUGGCCAAAUCACUGGACCCUCCAAAAUCCUUGUGGUGUUUCUACCGCUAUUUUUGUCUCCACCUUCUCUGCUGAAAGGGUUGUCCAAGUCCUGUGUCCAAAAAUCAAGCUCCCUGUAACCCUUUCCAACAAUGUUUAUAAUAAUGAAUGGCAACGAAUUUGAAUUUGAAAAAUUAAUUGUUCCACUUAAACCACUGAAGUCACUUAAUAAUAUAUUUUUUAACAACAUUUUUGGAGUAUUAGUAUCAUCAGCUAAUCUCUCCAGGGCCCGUGUGAUGACAGCAAUGCUAUCAUAUGCUCGUAGUGCAUGAAUUCCUGGCUGGGCGUUGUCUUCCUCUGGGUAUUCAGAUUUAAAAUUUUUCUGAAACUGGGCAGAGAAUUCUUGGAAGGGCCUAUUGGAUUUGGAAUAGUAGGACUUGAUUCCUAGAGCCCCUUCCAUAUAGGAGAUAAAGGAGGUGUCCAUGGAAUCCAGGAAGCUUGAAAUGCUAUCUGUAAUUAUCCAGGCUGAGUCUUUCCCCAUAAAAUCCAUCCGCCUUGCUUCUUGGAACAAUUGGGUAGCCAUUGGUAAAGACGAUUGAAGAACAAUGAAAACUGAUAAGCCAAGAACAGAGGAGAACAGAGGAGUUGGUUCUGAUGUCACGAGAUGAAGCCCACUUGUUGUUAGAUUUAUUGUUAUUGAGUUGUUAUUUUUUACCAGCUGUCAUAACAGCCUGUCUCCAUCUAUUUUGAACACUAUAUAUAUAUUAAAUCUCUCUCUCUUGUUACUUUAACAAUAGAGAGCAGAGUUUUCAGCUUCAGCUUUUCUAUCUUGGUAUCAGAGCUAACAUUCAAGGUUUGAAUUUUUUCUUCUCUUUCUCACUUUCUCUCUGUUUCUCUCGAUCCAAACAUGGCCUCUACUCCGACACAGUCUUCUUCUUCCUCUGGUUCGAUUGGAUCUGGACAAAGCUCAACAAUGGCGUCCAUUCCUUCCUAUCAGAUGCUUAAUCACACUCUGCCUGUGAAACUUGAUCGGACGAAUUACAUCCUAUGGAGAUCUCAGAUUGAUAAUGUCAUUUUUGCUAAUGGCUUUGAGGAUUUCAUUGAUGGAACCUCUAUCUGUCCGGAGAAAGAUCUGAGUCCAGGAGUGAUGAAUCCAGCUUUUGUUGCUUGGAGGAGACAAGAUCGAACAAUCCUUAGUUGGAUCUACUCGUCGCUCACACCAGGUAUCAUGGCACAGAUCAUAGGCCAUAAUACUUCUCACUCUGCUUGGAAUGCCUUGGAAAGUAUUUUUUCAUCUUCUUCAAGAGCUAGGAUAAUGCAACUCAGACUCGAAUUACAAUCCACAAAGAAAGGAUCAAUGUCGAUGAUAGACUACAUAAUGAAGAUCAAAGGAGCUGCUGAUAAUCUAACUGCUAUUGGAGAACCUGUCUCAGAACAAGAUCAGGUUAUGAAUCUUCUUGGAGGUCUUGGAUCCGAUUAUAAUGCUGUUGUUACUGCUAUCAACAUUAGAGAUGAUAAGAUCUCUCUUGAAGCUAUACAUAGUAUGCUAUUAGCCUUUGAGCAUCGUCUUGAGCAACAAAGCUCGAUUGAACAAAUGUCUGCCAAUUAUGCCUCUUCCUCUAAUAACAGAGGUGGUGGAAGGAAGUUUAAUGGAGGUCGUGGACAAGGCUACUCUCCAAAUAACAAUAAUUACACCUAUAGAGGUCGUGGACGUGGAGGUAGAAAUGGACAAGGUGGAAGGCAAAAUUCCAGUCCAAGUGAGAAACCUCAGUGUCAGUUAUGUGGUAAGUUUGGCCACACUGCUCAGAUCUGUUAUCACAGGUUUGAUAUCUCUUUUCAAGGAGGUCAGACUACUAUUUCUCAUUCUUUGAAUAAUGGGAAUCAAAACAAUAUACCUGCUAUGGUUGCUUCUGCUUCUAAUAAUCCUGCAGAUGAAAGUUGGUAUUUGGAUUCUGGAGCAAGUCACCAUCUGACUCAGAAUUUGGGGAAUCUCACCAGUACUUCACCAUACACGGGAACAGAUAAAGUCACUAUUGGUAAUGGUAAGCAUCUCUCCAUCUCCAAUAUUGGCUCUAAACAACUUCAUUCUCAUACACAUUCUUUUCGACUCAAGAAGGUGUUUCAUGUUCCCUUUAUCUCAGCUAAUUUGAUUAGUGUGGCUAAGUUCUGCUCAGAAAAUAAUGCCUUGAUUGAGUUUCAUUCUAAUGCUUUCUUUGUGAAGGAUCUACACACGAAGAUGGUUCUUGCUCAAGGCAAGCUUGAAAAUGGCCUUUACAAGUUUCCUGUGUUCAGCAAUCUGAAACCUUAUAGUAGUAUUAAUAAUGCUUCUGCUUUCCAUUCCCAAUUUUCGAGUACUGUUGAAAAUAAAGCAGAGUUAUGGCACAAUAGACUAGGCCAUGCUAGUUUUGACAUUGUUUCAAAAGUCAUGAAUACUUGUAAUGUUGCUUCUGGGAAAUAUAAAUCCUUUGUUUGUUCUGAUUGUCAGUUAGCUAAAAGUCAUAGACUACCCACUCAGCUCUCAAAUUUUCAUGCAUCUAAACCUUUAGAACUUGUUUAUACUGAUAUUUGGGGACCUGCCUCAAUUAAAUCUACAUCUGGAGCGAGAUAUUUCAUUCUUUUUGUAGAUGAUUAUUCCAGGUAUACUUGGUUUUAUUCAUUACAAACAAAGGAUCAGGCUCUUCCCAUCUUUAAGCGAUUCAAGCUUCAAAUGGAGAAUCAGUUUGACACCAAAAUUAAGUGCUUACAGUCUGAUAAUGGUGGAGAAUUUCGAUCUUUUACGUCUUUUCUUCAAGCAGUUGGUAUUGCCCAUCGAUUUUCCUGUCCAUACAACUCAGCUCAAAAUGGUAGAGUUGAGCGGAAGCACCGACACGUAGUUGAAACUGGGUUGGCUUUGUUAUCUCAUGCUUCCUUGCCAAUGAAGUACUGGCACUAUGCUUUUCAGACAGCAACUUUUCUUAUCAAUCGAAUGCCAAGCAAAGUUCUCGAGUAUGACUCUCCUUACUUCACUCUUUUUAGAAGGCAUCCUGACUAUAAAUCUUUUCGUGUAUUUGGCUGCCUUUGUUAUCCUUUCAUUCGGCCAUACAACACUCAUAAAUUGCAGUACAGAUCUGUCCAAUGUCUUUUUCUUGGCUAUAGUUUGAAUCACAAGGGGUUUUUAUGUCUUGAUUAUGCAACUGGAAGAGUCUAUAUUACUCCCCACGUGGUCUUUGAUGAAUCAACUUUCCCACUUGCUCAGUCCAAGUCUUCCAGUUCGUCUAAUGACACUUCAGCAGAAGGCUCUACCCCUGCCCUUAUAACUCCUCCUUCUUUUCCAUGUCUUCUCCCAGAUUCAAAAAUCAGUCAUGUUUCCAUAGAUUCUCAUUCUCUAUCCACAAGUGAAAGUCCUAUUCCUACAACCUCUUCUUCACCUCUGGACACAUCUAGUUCUUCUCCUGCUAUAGAUUUAUCACCUAAAUCUGUUCCAGAACCUCAAAUCACUGCUCUUUCUCCACGAAUGACAACAAGGUCCAUGCGUGGUAUAACCAAGAAAAAGACCAUUCUUGAUCUCUCUGCCAUAAAGGUUUCAGAACCAUCUACUCUCAAACAAGCCUUCAAAGAUCCAAAUUGGACUAAAGCUAUGGAAAUGGAGAUUGCUGCUCUUCAUAGAAACCAUACUUGGGAUCUUGUUGAACAACCACCCAAUGUCAAUGUGAUUGGCUGUAAGUGGGUGUAUAAACUGAAACAUAAGCCAGAUGGGAGUAUAGAGAGGUAUAAAGCUAGGCUUGUGGCAAAAGGAUAUAAUCAGACUCAUGGUCUGGACUAUUUUGAGACGUUUAGUCCAGUAGUUAAGGCUGCCACUAUUCGCAUCAUACUUACUGUUGCUCUCAGUUUUAAGUGGGAAAUUCGACAGCUUGAUGUUCACAAUGCCUUCCUCAAUGGUGAGCUAGAAGAACAAGUCUAUAUGUCUCAACCUCCUGGAUACUUUGACCCUCAAUUCCCGAAUAGAGUGUGCAGAUUGAAGAAGGCUUUAUAUGGCUUAAAACAAGCCCCACGUGCUUGGUUUCAAAGACUCAGCUCUGCUCUUCUUCAGUGGGGAUUCAGCAUGUCUCGGACUGAUAGUUCUAUGUUUCUGCACUUUGGAAAGGCCACUACUUUGAUAGUUCUUGUCUAUGUUGAUGAUAUCCUUGUAACGGGCAGCUCCUCCACACAGAUUUCGUCUCUCAUAGCUAAACUUGAUUCAGUUUUUGCCUUACGAGAUUUGGGUCAACUCUCAUUCUUUCUCGGUAUAGAGGUUUCUUACAAUGAAGGCUCUAUGACUUUGAGCCAAACCAAAUACAUUUCAGAUCUUCUUCAUAGAACUGAACUGUUUGAUACCAAACCGGCAAACACACCUGGUGCUGUUGGGAAGAACUUGUCUAAAUUUGAUGGAGAUCCUAUGACAGAUGUUACCCAUUAUCGAAGUGUAGUAGGGGCACUUCAGUAUGUUACCUUGACAAGACCUGAUAUAGCCUUUGCUGUCAAUAAGGCAUGCCAAUUUAUGCAACAACCAACCACAGCUCACUGGCUCUCAGUCAAACGAAUACUUCGGUAUCUAAGAGGAACAAUGCAAGAUGGGCUCCUGUUCAGUCCUUCAAGUAACUUGACAAUAGAGGGAUUCACAGAUGCAGAUUGGGGUGCUCACCUUGAUGAUAGGCGCAGCUCAAGUGGAUAUCUAGUUUAUCUAGGAGGUAACUUAGUCUCUUGGUCCUCUACCAAACAAAAAGUGGUGUCUCGCAGUAGUGCCGAGUCUGAGUAUCGUGGUCUUGUUUUCGCUACUGCUGAGAUUGUUUGGAUGCAAGCCUUACUGCAAGAGCUAUGUGUGCCAAUACCUGCUAUACCUCUACUUUGGUAUGAUAAUAUCAGUGCUUACCAUAUGGCAAAGAACCCUGUGUUUCAUGCUAGAACUAAACACAUAGAAAUAGACCUUCAUUUUAUACGAGAUCAAGUCAUGAGAGGAAAGAUACAACUGCAAUUUGUUCCCACUGAAGAGCAGCCAGCAGAUUUAUUGACUAAGCAUCUCACAAGUUCAAGGUUCUUGUCCCUCAAAUCUCAGCUUUGUAUAGCUCCAAGACCCUUUCACUUGAGGGGGGAUGAUAAGCCAAGAACAGAGGAGAACAGAGGAGUUGGUUCUGAUGUCACGAGAUGAAGCCCACUUGUUGUUAGAUUUAUUGUUAUUGAGUUGUUAUUUUUUACCAGCUGUCAUAACAGCCUGUCUCCAUCUAUUUUGAACACUAUAUAUAUAUUAAAUCUCUCUCUCUUGUUACUUUAACAAUAGAGAGCAGAGUUUUCAGCUUCAGCUUUUCUAUCUAAAACCCUGGAUCGUGUGCUCAGAAGCUUCAAGAGCUCUUGAUGGACAGCUCCUCUUGGAUCAGAUAGAGAUGAUAUGGGAGGAAGAGGCAAAUGGUACUCAAUCUCGGAGCCAACUCUUUGAAGAGCUUCAGAAAAAAUAGUUAACAUCUCAGCGUUCCCACCGUACGCAUCAUCUUCAUAGAUUGCGAUGACCCUUCACCAGUGAUAGGAGUGAACGAUAGCUGCAAUGCACCUUAUUUGUUCAGAAACAUUGGUGCCCAUUUGUAUCAGGGUGGACCUUCCAAGCUGCCUCGAUGGCCGGACACUCGCGGCUGCCGCCAAUGAAAGAACUGGUACUUGAGCUUGGUUUCCGAUUUCAUCAGCUAAAGCUGCUUGCUGCCAUGUAUCCAUGCCCACAAUCACUUGCACUUUCUUCUCUUUAAUCAGUUCUUCAGCUGUAAUUAAAUGUUAUGAACCCCAUCAAUUGUAUUCCAUUUUUGUUCUGCCUAUUUCAUUCAUAUUCAGUACAUAACAGUGUUUUUCAAUACAUGGAAGCAAUAAAAAUCCAUUUCCACCUAUUUCAAUUUCUUUUCUUUUUCUAAAUGAUGAGUGCUACUUAAAACAAGUCAAGUUAUCCUAAAUUUAUUUUUUAGAGGAAAACUUAAGAAUGAAAAAAAAAAAAAGGAAAAGAAAAAGGAAAAACAUUAGAAUUUAAUAUUUUUUUUAUUUUACUAUGAUUGCGAAAUGACCAAUAUAAAGACAUCCAUCUCUCUAUAUCUUCCUACUUUUAUUUUUUAAAAUUAAUAUAAAAAAUAAAAAAAUUAUUUUUACUUCUUUAUAUCCAUUCAAAGUUUAACCCUAAUUCUUCCUUUGUCCUUUCCUCUGCCUCGUCCCUUCUUUUCCCUCCUAGUGGGUCAUGAAUGAUACAAAGGAAGAGAAUAAAAGGGAAACAAAAUUGAGGUGGGUGUUAAAGAAGAUGAGGAUAAUUUUAUCCUUUCAUAUUUAAUUUUUAAUUUAAAAUAAAUAAAAAAAUAAAAAAUAGAAGAUGUAUAAGUGACGUAGAGAUAGUUUGGGUGGCUGAUGUUAUAACCACUCGUGUAUCAUGCUAGAGGAUUAAUGUUGAAAAUAAUAGGUGAUUAGACAGCCGUAGAAGGAAUCAAGGAAGAGAUGACCAACCAGUUAAGGCCGCCCCAUAGAGUUCUCCGGUGAAGUUCCGGGAGAUAAGAGAGAGCUUAUGAUUCUUGGAAUUGUUAUUGAACUUAUCCACAGCUAUCUUGAUGGCGGUUAUUUCCUCUUUACCUUUACGAGAAUUAGCAUCAAUGAUUGCCCCAAUGAUGGUGGAGUUGUCAUCUACUGCUGUGCCGGUGAUGUAUCCAAGAUGGCAGACAAUUAAAAGAAUGGAGGUAAGUGAAAAGCAGAUGAAACAUGGUGUUGGAGAAUUCAGUGGGGAGGGCAUUUCUGCUCUUAGCAACCAGCAAGCAAUUAGUGCCUUAAAGGAGAUUCUUCUAAGCUUAAAUAAAUAUAAAUUCACAAGUAGAAUAUUCAUUUCGAAUCCCCAGUAUGAAGUUUCCUUCUUACUUCGUAAGUCAAUUCUUGCUGUGGAAUUCCCUUCCAUUACUUUCAUUCUCCUUGUACGUGGUAUUCAAAGCCAACCGCAUGGAUUUAUGGCCAAGGACAAAGAAGAUUAAACAAUGUGUCGUUUUCAUUCAAGGAUUUAGUGGUGUUGGAGGUAAGAUGGGAAGGCAUGUGUGGUAUUGAUGGGAGAUGAUAAGAUGGAAAUCAUAACCAUAGCCAUGUUCUCUAUGUGUCUUUCUAUCCUCUUCAAUUAAUUCAUGAGCAUAAAUAUUUUAUUUAGUUUUUAUAUUUAGUUUAUUUAUAGUUUAUUUAGUUUCUAAAAUCCAAUAAGUUAGAUAUUUUAUUUGAUUUUGUUUUUAUAUUUAAGUAUUUGAGUUUUGGAAAGUUUUUAUAUUUUGUUAAUAGAAAUAGAAAUUUUUAUAUUUUUUAUUAUUAGGAAUUUCUAUUUUGUUAAAUUGUAAGUAUCUAUCUCAAUAAGAAAUUAUUAAUAUUCAAAUGAAAGUGAUGAAAGAGAGUAAAUAUUUUAAUGCUCAAUUAUAUUUUAAUGUUAUUUUUUUUUUUUACAUAAAGGUUUAUUUAUGUUUUCAAUUUUGAAGUUCUCUUUCCAAGUCCAACAACAAAAGUAGUGUCCAACCUUAAAAUGGGCAUGUGUGGUAUUGACGGGAGAUGAUAAGAUGGAAACCAUAACCAUAGCCAUGUUCUCUCUGUGUCUUUCUAUCAUCUUCAAUUAAUUCAUGGGCAUAAAUAUUUUAUUUAGUUUUUAUAUUUAGUUUAUUUAUAGUUUAUUUAGUUUCUAAAAUCCAAUUAGCUAGAUAUUUUAUUUGAUUUUAUUUUUAUAUUUAAGUAGUUGAGUUUUGGAAAGUUUUUAUAUUUUGUUAAUAGAAAUAGAAAUUUUAUAUUUUUUAUUAUUAGGAAUUUCUAUUUUGUUAAAUUGUAAGUAUCUAUCUCAAUAAGAGAUUAUUAAUAUUCAAAUGAAAGUGAUGAAAGAGAGUAAAUAUUUUAAUGCUCAAUUAUAUUUUAAUGUUAUUUUUUUUUUACAUAAGGGUUUAUUUAUGUUUUCAAUUUUGAAGUUCCCUUUUCAAGUCCAGCAACAAAAGUAGUGUCCAACAUUAAAAUGGGCAUGUGUGGUAUUGACAGGAAAUGAUAAGAUGGAAAUCAUAACCAUAGCCAUGUUCUCUCUGUGUCUUUCUAUCCUCUUCAAUUAAUUCAUGGGCAUAGAUAUUUUAUUUAGUUUUUAUAUUUAGUUUAUUUAUAGUUUAUUUAGUUUCUAAAAUCCAAUUAGCUAGAUAUUUUAUUUGAUUUUGUUUUUAUAUUUAAGUAAUUGAGUUUUGGAAAGUUUUUAUAUUUUGUUAAUAGAAAUAGAUAUGAGGACUUAAAGGGUUUAUAUUUAGGUAGUGCUUGAGCCAAGGAAAAUGAUAGUCCACUAUCUUGACCCUAUGCAUCACAAACCAUGUGAGGACUUAAAGGAUAUCGUAAACAUGUAAGUUCUUCAUAUUAUUUUUCAUAGUAUUAUUUUUAAAUAAAAAAAAUACAUUCACCUCAAACACAUUUUUUUUAUUUAUAUAUAUUAAAACAUAUAACAUUUACCUAUUUUAAAAAUGUACCCAUUGAACUUAUUUACAUAGGGCUCUUCGAAUAUCUGCAAAGAAAACAUCUAAGAGGGAGCCAUCUUAGCAACUAGUGUAGGUGACAUCCAAAAAUUUUUCUUUACACAUUAGCUUAUGCAUUUGCACCAUUUAUAUAUGUGAGUACUAAUGUUAUUUUAUAAUUGAUUGAUUAGUGUCCAAGACAAGAAGGAGGGUUCGAAUGUGGCUACUUUGUUAUGAGAUUCAUUAAAGAGAUAAUUUUUGAUCCUACAAUUAUUGCUUCAAAGGUAUUACUUAUUUAAUGAAUUGUACAUAGUUUUAGGCUUCCAAAUGUUAUGCAUUUUAAUGUUAUUUUCUUAUUUGAUUUCAGUUUGGUAAUAAAAAAAAACAUAUUCUCAAGUAGAAUUCGAUGAAAUUAGAGGAGAAUGGGCUACUUUUGUGCUACAACUAAUCAUGAAUCAUGUUGAUGCAUCAUGAUCACCAUGCAUGGUGAGUCCCUUAGCUACUACAUGAAUUUUUCCAUAGGUAUUGUAUAGUAAUGCUUAUUCUUUGAAUAAUGUUUCUAUUUGAAAAAAAAAAUUAAUUCUUAGAUAUGUUCAUUUAUGAUAACAUAGAUCCAUGUUUAUUUUCUUCAAUAAAAAUCUCUAAAACUCAUUAAAUUUUGAAAUGCAGGUAUACACUCUUGGGAGGGUGAAAUGGAGAAUAAAAAGAAAGAAGAAGGCAACAAGAUUUUGGGUUUUUAAAUGCAACUCUUAUGUCAUACGUUGUAGGACAUAAACGUUACUUUAAUUGCAACUGAGAAAUUUAGAUUUUUAGAUGGGACUUCUAUGUCAUUUUAUGGUUAGCCGGUUUUAUGCUUAUGAAAUGGAGGUAUACAUGAAUCUUGGGAUCUUUAACAUUUCUAAAUCAUGUUUUGGUAUGUAUUCACUCUUCUUUUUUAGUUUUGAUGGGUUUGAUAUGUUGGAUGUACUAUCCUUUUGUGAACAUUUGAUAUACAAAUAUUAUUAGAUGAUCAAUGUAUUAUGAGUUAUUCCAGAAACAUUACAGAAAAAUGAGUUAAAUAUAAUAUGAUUGUUAUAUUUAUGGACAAAAUAUAAACAGGUUAAUCUUAUUAAUUCAUAAGCAUUACAAAAAUCAACAACUAAAACCAAUCAUAUAUUCCACAAUAAUUUACAAUGAUGUGAUACCAUAUCUCAAAGGUGAUGCAUUUAAUGUGACAUCAUAACUCAAAGAUGAUGUAUUUAAUGUGACACCCUAUCAUCACUAGAAAUAUAUGGUGUCACUUCUGAAUGGGUCACCAUUUAUCUAAUUUGGUGUCACUUCCAAAUACGUCACCAAUUGGUACCCUCUAUGGUGUCAGUGGAGAAGGUGACGCUAUGUUGUAGUGACACCUUAUGUUUAUGGUGACUCGUUAUAAAUGUCACCAUAUACCUUUUUCCUUGUAGUGGUCUCUCUGAAAUAAUUAUCCCAGUAGUACUGUUCCUGAUUUGUGAAGUUGCAGGCCUUGGAAGUCAUUGUCCACAGUUUUCUGUUUUUAAACGACUUGCUCAGUCAAUCUUUCCCCCCUCACAUAAAACACGGUUUUGAAAUUUAGGGAAAGUUGUGUUUGCAGCCAACUAUUUGAAAGUAAUAUGACAAUCAAACUCCAAUCAGCUGGAAUAUGAGAUUUGAUUGUCAAAGGAGAAAAUAUUAUCUUUCUUGUGCACUCUUUGCUGACUCCAUUUUAUGUUCCUAGAUUGCCCCUCCAUGCCACCAUGUCAGCUGCAACCUUGUCUCCAUAUCAGCAGCAAGCCCUCCAUGUCACAAAAGAGAUUGAAAAUUUUAAAAACAAAAAAAUCUAAAUUUGAAACCUAUGAAAAAUCACUCGACCCGACAAUUGACUGUUAUUUCCCUAAUAUGAAACCUUUCUUUUCUCUGAUUUGGGAACAUUUCUCUCUCUCUCUUGGCUUCAUCACCCACACAAUCCUGAGACCCAUAUAAAAUUUCCCAAAAAUUGUCUCAUUUGAGAGAAAAAACCAUUAAUCCAAAACUCCAACCUGGGUGUUUCUUUCAUGUCCACAUAAAAGUGCAAUGAAAUGGAGCAUUCCAUCCUAAAAGCGUUCAGUUAAAAGACGACUUCAAGAGGCAUAUAUGUGAUUGUGAAUUUACUACAGCAGCGCGUACCCAAAUAGAAAGCUAGAAUCCAAAAUAUUGGCUUCGUCAACAAGAUAUCUCUUCCUGUCAUUGAGCGCAUUUUGCCCUAACCCUAAACUGAAAUUUGAAGGUAAAUAAUUUUUAUUUAUUGUUCUUUAGUUUGAAAUGGGGCACAUCAAUGAUUUUGGAGUCGUUGGUGGACUUGAACUUUUGUGUGGGGAAGUGGAAACCAUAUUAUUCCCAAAUAACCAUAUGACCUACAAGUCGCAUUGAAUCCAGAUGGAACUUACAACAUAUCCGAUUGCAAGUCCCAUUGUUAUUUUGGGGACUGUACCUUAGGUACUACCUUAAUAGCCCUUAGGUACCACCUUAAUCUACCUUAGGUACUACCUUAACGGAGCUUAGGUACUACCUUAGUUAAACUUGGGUACUACCUAUCCGAAGCAUUGAAACUUCAAUUGUGGACAUUACUUACUUCAUUUGUGACCCUUAGAGCAUGCCAUUAUGUGAUUAUUUAGUGUGCUCAAUUGGUUCACCUUUCCUAUUUUGGGGACUGUACCUUAGGUACUACCUUAAUAGCCCUUAGGUACCACCUUAAUGUACCUUAGGUACUACCUUAACGGAGCUUAGGUUUUACCUUAGUUAAACUUGGGUACUACCUGUCCGAAGCCUUGGAACUUCAAUUGUGGACAUUACUUACUUCAUUUGUGACCCUUAGAGCAUGCCAUUAUGUGAUUAUUUAGUGUGGUGAAAUGAUUCACCUUUCUUAUUUUGGGAACUGUAUCUUAGGUACUACCUUAAUAGCCUUUAGUUACCACCUUAAUCUACCUUAGGUACUACCUUAACGGAGCUUAGGUACUACCUUAGUUAAACUUGGGUACUACUUGUCCGAAGCAUCGAAACUUCAAUUGUGGACAUUACUUACUUCAUUUGUGACCCUUAAAGCAUGCCAUUAUGUGAUUAUUUAGUGUGCUCAAUUGGUUCACCUUUCCUAUUUUGGGGACUGUACCUUAGGUACUAUCUUAAUAGCCCUUAGGUACCACCUUAAUGGCCCUUAGGUACCACCUUAAUGGCCCUUAGGUACCACCUUAAUGGCCCUUAGGUACCACCUUAAUGUACCUUAGGUACUACCUUAACGGAGCUUAGGUACUACCUUAGUUAAACUUGUGUACUACUUGUCCGAAGCCUCAGAACUUCAAUUGUGGACAUUACUUACUUCAUUUGUGACCCUUAGAGCAUGCCAUUAUGUGAUUAUUUACUGUGGUGAAAUGAUUCACCUUUUUUAUUUUGGGAACUGUACCUUAGGUACUACCUUAAUAGCCCUUAGGUACCACCUUAAUAGCCCUUAGGUACCACCUUAAUGUACCUUAGGUAUUACCUUAAUGGAGAUUAGGUAUUACCUUAGUUAAACUUGGGUACUACCUAUCCGAAGCCUCGAAACUUCAAUUGUGGACAUUUCUUAUUCCAUUUGUGACCCUUAGAUCAUGCCAUUAUGUGAUUAAUUAGUGUGCUCAAUUGAUUCAAUUUUGUUAUUUUGGGGAUUGUACCUUAGGUACUACCUUAAUAUCCCUUAGUUACCAUCUUAAUGUACUUUAGGUACUACCUCAAUGGAGAUUAGGUACUACCUUAGUUAAACUUGGGUACUACCUGUCCGAAGCCUCGGAACUUCAAUUAUGGACAUUUCUUACUCCAUUNNNNNNNNNNNNNNNNNNNNNNNNNNNNNNNNNNNNNNNNNNNNNNNNNNNNNNNNNNNNNNNNNNNNNNNNNNNNNNNNNNNNNNNNNNNNNNNNNNNNNNNNNNNNNNNNNNNNNNNNNNNNNNNNNNNNNNNNNNNNNNNNNNNNNNNNNNNNNNNNNNNNNNNNNNNNNNNNNNNNNNNNNNNNNNNNNNNNNNNNNNNNNNNNNNNNNNNNNNNNNNNNNNNNNNNNNNNNNNNNNNNNNNNNNNNNNNNNNNNNNNNNNNNNNNNNNNNNNNNNNNNNNNNNNNNNNNNNNNNNNNNNNNNNNNNNNNNNNNNNNNNNNNNNNNNNNNNNNNNNNNNNNNNNNNNNNNNNNNNNNNNNNNNNNNNNNNNNNNNNNNNNNNNNNNNNNNNNNNNNNNNNNNNNNNNNNNNNNNNNNNNNNNNNNNNNNNNNNNNNNNNNNNNNNNNNNNNNNNNNNNNNNNNNNNNNNNNNNNNNNNNNNNNNNNNNNNNNNNNNNNNNNNNNNNNNNNNNNNNNNNNNNNNNNNNNNNNNNNNNNNNNNNNNNNNNNNNNNNNNNNNNNNNNNNNNNNNNNNNNNNNNNNNNNNNNNNNNNNNNNNNNNNNNNNNNNNNNNNNNNNNNNNNNNNNNNNNNNNNNNNNNNNNNNNNNNNNNNNNNNNNNNNNNNNNNNNNNNNNNNNNNNNNNNNNNNNNNNNNNNNNNNNNNNNNNNNNNNNNNNNNNNNNNNNNNNNNNNNNNNNNNNNNNNNNNNNNNNNNNNNNNNNNNNNNNNNNNNNNNNNNNNNNNNNNNNNNNNNNNNNNNNNNNNNNNNNNNNNNNNNNNNNNNNNNNNNNNNNNNNNNNNNNNNNNNNNNNNNNNNNNNNNNNNNNNNNNNNNNNNNNNNNNNNNNNNNNNNNNNNNNNNNNNNNNNNNNNNNNNNNNNNNNNNNNNNNNNNNNNNNNNNNNNNNNNNNNNNNNNNNNNNNNNNNNNNNNNNNNNNNNNNNNNNNNNNNNNNNNNNNNNNNNNNNNNNNNNNNNNNNNNNNNNNNNNNNNNNNNNNNNNNNNNNNNNNNNNNNNNNNNNNNNNNNNNNNNNNNNNNNNNNNNNNNNAUUAUUUAGUGUGGUCAAUUGAUUCACCUUUCUUAUUUAGGGGACAGUACCUUGGGUACUACCUUAAUAGUCCUUAGGCACCACCUUAAUUUACCUUAGGUACUACCUUAAUGGACCUUAGGUACUACCUUAAUGUAGCUUAGGUACUACCUUAGUUAAACUUGGGUACUACCUAUCCGAAGCCUCGGAACUUCAAUUGUGGUCAUUACUUACUUCAUUUGUAACCCUUAAAGCAUUCUAUUAUGUGAUUAUUUAGGGGUUUCUUUGGUUUCUAUAGGCCGAUAUGGAAAUAUUGGUAAAAUAAAAACCUAACUUUCCCAUUCUAAAGUUAACCAUAUUAAUAUUAAAAAUAUUUUGGUUUCAUGCACUUUGAGCUUAUAUGUUUUUUGAUGCCAAAUUUACCCUCCAUUUAUUCCAGGUAAGCAUCCACAUGUUAAAAAAAAAAAAAAAAAACCAAAAAUUAAAAUUUCUUUCUUUCUUUCUCUCUUUUUUCUCUUUCUCCACCAAGCACCAAAGAAAACUCAAGAUCUCAUUUGUUCAUCUCCUUACCCUUCUCAAAACCUAAAGAAACGCUAAGAUUAAAACUUUACCUCCAUUUCCAUUUUGAUCGAUUCACCAACUUGAAAAUAUUGGGGAUUUUGAAAUCUCUCACCCAAUUAAUCUACUUUGUGUCUAUUCAUUUUGAUCAUCAUCAUCAUGGUCCUCUAAGAUUGGAUUUUUGGAUUGGUAUUUGGGUAUGCUCGAAACUCAUCCUCUCAUCACCAAAAUCAUUACAUCCUCCAUCUUCUUCUCAAUUGCUAACUUGAGUUGCAUUUUUCCCUAACCCCAAACCGAAAUCUGAAGGUAAAUAAUUUUUAUUUAUUGUUCUUUAGUUCAUUUGUUUGAAAAGGAGCACAUUAACGAUAUUGGAGUCGUUGGUGGACUUGAACUUUUGUGUUGGGUUGUGGAAACCAUAUUAUUCCCAAAUAACCAUAUAAUCUAUAAGUCGCAUUGAAUCAAGAUGGAACUUAUAACAUAUUUGGUUGCAAGUCACAUUGUUAUAUUGGGGGACUGUACCUUAGGUGCUACCUUAAUAGCCCUUAGGUACCACUUUAAUCAACCUUAGGUAUUACCUUAACUGAUCUUAGGUACUACCUAUCCGAAGCCUCAGAACUUCAUUUGUGACCCUUAGAGUAUGCCAUUAUGUGAUUAUUUUGUAUGGUCAAGUGGUUCACCUUUGGUAUUUUGAGGAUUGUACCUUAAGUACUACCUUAAUAGCCCUUAAGUACCACCUUAAUCAACCUUAGGUUCUACCUUAACCGACCUUAAGUACUACUUUAACCUACCUUGAUGAUGCAAUUAUAUACUAAGCAAGACCACCAACAUGGAUGUAUUGACCAUCUGAAUAUUCAGAUUCCUUCAACUUUCCCAAGAGAUUUACAAGGAAAUUUCCACUGUACCUCCUGUAUAACAACUAUAAGAAAUAAAAUUGUUAGUAUAACACUAGAAGAAAAUGACCGCAACUCAUGUAUACAAGCUUAAAGCUUAAGUGCUUGGGAUAUAAAGUAAAGGUUGGAAACAAGAGCAGACUGUAGAAUGAUGGGCACGUUAGAAGUGUAGAACAACAUAAUAAGAUAUGAACCCUGCUGUCUAUGAGCAUUAUUUGACCUCACAAGGCAAAACCACCUGAAACCCUUGGAAGUAGAUAACAAUAAGGAAGAUCAAUACUGUUGCAAGCAAAUUUGUCACAUUUGGAAGGUUCUGCCGAUAGAAAGCCUCCUGUAGAGGUCGAACUUUAUCUAUCCGAGUUGUUAGCAGAUAGAAGAGAGCAAUAACAACACCUUCAAAUUCAACUCCAUGAUCGCUAUUAAUAGUAGUGGGGCUAAAAGCCUUCCAGAUGAUGUUUUCACUACCAAUUGAUAAAAACAAUUAUCACUAUUUGAUAGUAGAGUUAAUGGUCAACCCAGAAAUGAGACCACCAUUCACUAGACACUGGCUGCUAGAUAGUAAAACUUCUUCAAAUAUUCCAUGUUCAAAUAUUAUUGAGAUUGGAGAUUUGACUACUUCACUGCAAAUAAAUUCCAUUUUUAAGAUUUGAUUGGCUUAAAGUGAAAUACAGAUCAGUUAAUAUUAUAACAUUUGAAUUGUUCGUAUGCACAAAUUGUCUUUAACUCAAUCUUAGAUUUCAAGGCAACACAUAUAAACUGCCGCUAUAAUAAUCCACCCAAUCCAAUUACACAAAGCAAAAAAGUAAAGAGACCUAAAGAGAGAAGAGGAGACUGUUUUGUUCACAAAGAUCAAACUAUUUGUUUUAAAAACUGCCUUUUGGGAGACUGUGCCACAAACUCUUUUAGUUUAAUUGUGAUUAUUCAAACAACGCACAAACAAGGAGAGAACAUAACUUACUGCCACAAAACCGCUUGUGUUUCAUCACUGAAAUGCGUCAAACCCAUCCCUCACAUUAGACAUGCUUGCAUGACCUUGUCUCUAGCAUUGUUUGCCUCGUUCAUGAGAAGUUCACUUCAAGCCUUAAUUUGUACAGAUGCAUCUUGUCUUAUACGCCGCACAAAAAAUCAUAGCCUGGUAUGGAAUAACUUCCACAAAACUAAUGAAUAACGUGUUGGUUGUGCUUACCCUCACGAGUGAAUGUUCUAGUAUGGCUUUGUUCCAAUAUUGCAUGUACUUGAUAGCGAACAUCCCAAAGUCAUAUCUACACCACCAAUUGCAUUUCAUUAGUCAAAUACAUACAUCAAGUGGAAAUACAACUAUAGUACUACCACAUAGGUCAUGAUAUGAAAAUUAUCACUAGGAAACUACUCUACCUAUUUCGUUGUUGCACAAUCUGAGGUUGCACAUGCAUGAAUUUGGACACCUCCAAUUGCUUGUGCAUGCCAUGUGCAUGGAAGGCUUUAUCAAUCGCCUCAAACAAUCUUCUUGUUACGACACUUAUGUCGUUACCCUUUUGUUAAAGCAAACAAGAUAAUAUUUCCACUUGUGCUGCUGGAAUGUUGAUAAUGUGGAUGUGCCAAUGGUUGUUGUCACAAACUGGGAAGAAAAAUUGCAUGAGGAUUGAGGAAAUUUCCAUUAAUAGGUUAGUCGGGAAAAAUCAGAUUUUUUAUUUAUUUAUAAAUGAAACGGAUCUUUGGCUAUGAAACGGAUAUUUGGCCAUGAAACGGAUAAUGGUUGUUUGAGUCAAUUGUUUUAUAAGAAACUUCCACUUUUAGUAAAUUAUUCUCAAUGUUUGUUGUUUGAACAUAUGCAAGCAACAUUCAUGGAACAUGAACAUGACAUAAUAAAUCACAUUAUUUUUAUGAAGAAUACAAUAAUUGGAGAUUUGUCGUAAAAUCACCAAGGUGAACAAACGAGCUUAUAACAUAUACAUGAAGAAGAUCAUCUUUUAAUUUGUAGUUUGGAUAGGUCCUGAAGAUAAGAGUUCCCCAACCUGGUACAGUAAUCCUAGUGGACACUUUUGAAACAACAAUUAUCAAUGUAUGAUAAAAACCAUUAAUUUUAAUUGUUGCAUUUUGACUAAUGGCUUUGCAGUUCUUCAAUAUAUUACUUUAAUUUUGAUAAGGGAGAUUUCAUUGACAUAGUCACUGGCUGUACUCACAUGUAGCAAGGAUAAAGGAACAGUUGCAAAAGGAAAAAGAAUUGAUGACAUCUUUGGAAGCUGGAAUUAUUAUGUCUCGGAGUCCAUUACCUAUCUUAGCUACUAGUGACUUCCAAAGUUGGCCUAUGUCCACAUUUAACAAGUAUAUGAGCCCUUGGUCCUACACCAGAAUUUAACAUUUAAAUGUGCUAAAGGUGAAGGCAAAGCUUGGGGAAGUUGCUUUUAUGGAGGCAAAUGUACUUAAUAUCAAGCAAAAGGUUGAUGAUUUGAGUGCUCAACUUAAGGAUAGAAUGUGAAGUAAACUAUGGUCCUAUGCACGAUUCAUGAAGUGAGCCCCAAAGAUCACAAAAUAAAACAAAACUGUAAGUCCUUAUUUACUCUAAUUCCUAGUUUUGUUACAAGUGACUUAGGUAUGAGAUAUAUAAUUAGUAUUUAGUGUCUACUAACUUUAAUGUGUGUGGCAAGCCUAUUUAAGCUUGUUUGGUAUAGCUAUAACUUCUGGUAAAGUAUUUUUCGACAAAUUUUUGAACAAAAGAGAGGUUGCUAUUUAGCAUAUAACAUAAAUUUUAAGUUUGAAAUAUUCUAAUUGAUGCUAUUAAGCAAAAGUAUCCAACUAACAAAUUUACUAAAGGAGUUUUUACCAAAUAAUGCCAUCUUUAACUUUAAGUGGUUUUGCUAUAAGUAGAGAGACUGUAAAACUCUUAUUAACAAUAUUGUGAAAAGGUAAUAUGAAGUCAAACAAUUGCAUUUCAACAAAAUAUUCAUGUUCGGAAAUAGAUCAUAUGUACAGAGUGACUUUAUUUUGAUGAAACGAUUAUGAAGGAAACGGUUUUGUACAUAGGUUGAUGAUGAAACGAAAUCUUUUGCUCUUAUUUUUUCCUUAUCUGAUUAUAGGAAGGAUAAACAGAAGAUUGUUGAAACUACAUCUACUUCACAUCUUCAUGAAAAGUCAACGCAGAAUAAGGUAUAUCUUGAAGUGCAUCCAAAUCAUUAAUUUCCAAUGUUGAGACAUCCAUGAAAUUUGGACAUCAUAAACCAUCGUUCUAUAGGCUAAUAAAAAAUGGUUGAAAUUUAUAGUAUAUUGAAUCUAAAUUACAACUUUAAUCCACAUUUCUUAAACAUAAAGUGAUAUCAAUGACAAUCUAACAAUGUAGACAUAAAUGGGUGCAAGAAACCUUCAUUUAAGGUAAACGUAUAUAACCUAAUCUUUACGAUACGAGGAUAACAUUGAAAUGUUUGAAGCUUAAACACAAACUAAGGUACAUACAUCCCACCCAACCUUGAUAUUCUUAGAAUAUAUAUAGAAAUUCAUGUAGAGAAUAAGCACAAUGGGUUAUCCAACAAAAUGAAGUAAUUCAAUGUUUUUUUUCAUAUAUUUCAAGUUGAAAAAUCUAUCCAAAGAUGGAGCCUACACAGGUAAUGGAGUGAUCAAGAAAUUCAAUAGGGAAACAAAAAUUGAAAGACUGUAUGCCAUGGAAAUUCAAAAUAAUGCUACAUGAAUAACAAUGUGAGUUGAUUUCCUAUGUUAAUGUAUAACAUACUUCAGUGAUUUAUGCUUACUGGGACAUCCAAGCACGUCAUAAAAGUUUUAAAGAACAAAAAAAAUGAGGCAUAGCAUAAACAUAGCCUAUCAAAAGAAAUAAUGUGUAUUUGCUAUCUUAAUCAUGACCAUAGAAUUGAAUGUUGUAACUGGUUCAAAGUACACAAAAUAUAACAAAAAACACACCUUCCUCUCUAUAGCCACCUUUAGUUUAUCCCAAAAUGCAUAUGCAAAACACACCCACAUAAAUAAAGAUUAAUUUAAUUUGUAUGCCAACUGAACUAUGAGCUAAAAAUAGACCUGCAACAAAGUUCAAUAAGCCCCUUAGAAAUCUCCAUUUUUUUUCAACUACUGAUAUUCACAUAGGCUUUCAAGUGAAAGAAAAAUUAUUAAUAGAAACUCAGUCCUUGAGGCAUGGCUAAAGUGAUAAAGGGUUGAGAUGGGUUUGUAGGAGGUUCCAAGAUCAAGUCCUAAUGGGGGGCAAAAAUAAAUAAAUAAAUUGAAAAGAAAAACUUUAGAUGCAAUUGUUGAAGCUCCAAAAGAAAAUAAAGGAAAAUAUAUUUUUAUAAUAAUAGGGGACUAAAAUUAGAGUUAGGUCCCAAGAGUCAAUUAGUAAAAUUUUAACCAUAACUAUAAAGCUCAGAAAAAGCAAUUGGAUCCAACAUACUUUUAGAACAGAAGAAACCUCCAUACAAUCUGUUGAAAGUGCUUAAAGCCUUUAAAACAAUGUCAUUGAUGCAUAUCAUUUUACAGGAAAAUGGGUAAAACUCUGCUUCUACAUGCAAUAAGUAUGAAAUUUUCUAUUACAUCUGAAAACAACCAAAUAUAAAGAACUAUGGUGUAUGAAUAGUCAAUGACUGGCUAGCUUUCAAUGAGCUAGAAACCAAACAAUUGAUUUUAUAGUGCUAAAAAUUUGCUGAAUUUGCUAAAUCGAAAAAACAAAGAACAAAAAUUCCAUCUAUGUGUGACAUUUUUGAGAUUUAAAAGCCUCAAGCACUAAGCAUCUUUUGAAAUCAGUGUUCCAUUAAGUCAACCAUUUUCCUAUUGAAUUGUGUUCAUUUGUGCAAAAUACCAAACAUAACAAAUGGGCAGACACUGGUUUUUUUAUUUUUUAUUUGGUAUUUUUAUCACUUUAUAAGGCUAUUAGGUAGGCUCCAAUAGACUACCCAAAUCAAAUAAUUAAUUUCCAACUAAAAUGGAUCUAAAAUCUCAUAAUAUCAAGUUAUCAACUUGAAAAAUAGAUCAUGUUUAGCCAAUAGAAAAAUUAUACAAAUGAACUUCAUGAGUGGAUGGCAUACCAUGUAAGUUAAUUCCUUGAAUCUCAAUUUUCCUUCCAUUCCCUUCAUCCAAAGAAUUUUGCCUCUUCAACUGUUGUGAUAAGACUGAAUGUCAGAACAAUCAACUUGCACAUUUCUAUUUGCAACAACUAAUCUAGCAUCCAAUAGAUAGAAAUCAACAUAAAAUCAUAUAAAACAGUUGCAAUGAUACCGCCCUAUCUUGUGAUGACUGGGAAGUUGAUUGUCUUGAUGAUUUCGAGUUUGCCUGAACUUGUGAAAAGUGAGUUGGAAACAAAAGUUAGUGCAUAUAUAAGCUUUCCAGAUUUGGACAAUAUACUUCAAACUAGAACAGUAAAUGGUAAGAGAAUUGCACAGAUGUAAUACCAUUGAAUUGUAUCACAGAAAAUAUCCAUAGAGAUUUUAAGUUUUCCACAAUAUUUUUAAAUAAAAAUCAAGAUCAAGUGGUAAUUUUGAAUAAUUUAAAUAUAUUUAUAUCUCAAUUUCCAAAAAAAAAAAAAAAAUCAACCACAACAUAGAAGUCCAAUCCAUGAUAUUGUUAAGUAUUUUUUUUUUUUUUUAUCACCACUUGAAACACAAUUGAUGCAGAAACUAGCCUUAAAAUACAAACCUAAUGCAGAUCACUUUGUUAUAGUACUUUUUUUCUUUGUUGGAAAGUUGGAGAGACCCAUGAUUCUUGGUGACCAAGUAUAUACAUGGCUAAGAAUAAGUUUAGAAACUAUUCAAGCAUAUGUGUGAUUACUACUCAAAAAGUGCUCUUUUAUAGCUUGAAAUUAACUAUUUUAAACACUUUUGAGUAGUAGUUAAUACUUUUUAACUCAAUUGGCACAUUAAGGAACCUAGCAAGGGUUACUAAUCAGUUUUUGGCUAGUUUUGGUGUUUUUGGUAGCUUUUUGAUCAUUGAAACAAACAAAGAAUGAGGGAGAAUUUUGUGCAAUCCAUGGCAAUGCAAGUUGAAGCUCAAAUACAUGAAGAAUCCGAGUUUUGGAGCACUUCAUAGCCCUUUUCCAAGCUUGGCAAUAGGUUGCCAAGCCAAUCAGAGAUGCAUGGAAGAAAACUAGAGGAAAAAAUCUAACAUGUAGCAAUUUCGCAUGUCUAUGCGAAAAUUUCGCAAAGCAUGCAAAAUCAAGAGGAGGAGCAGUUGCAGGACUGAGUGAAGGACAAUUUUGCAGACCUUGCAAAACCACAAGAUGCAACAAAAAUGAAUUUCGCACACCAUGUGAAAUUUAGCAUGGUCUGCGAAAUCUUCCUGUGCACCGACUCCGUUAGAUUUUUAUCUCCAGAUUUUUUAUGUAAAUUACUAUUUUCUCCUUGUAAUCAACCAAUGAUAGGAUUUCUUAGUUAGGAACUAUAAAGGGGGGUUGGAAAGACCUCUCUAUGUAUAAUAUAUUUUUGUAUAAUCUUUUGAAGGAUAGACGACACUUGUAAUUCCCGUAGGAAGAAAUAUACAGAUCCAUUGCUCUACAUUUCCUUCUCAUUUUGUUUUCAUUUUUCUUUCUAGCCAAACAACCUCUAAGGAUGAUUUCUCAGGGGAUGAGUGGCUAAGUUUUACGUUUCUUGGAGUGAUGGAAACUAAGUGUAGGACCCGGAUGCAAAUGUGAGAGUUUUCAUUGCUUUAAAUGAAGGUAGUUGUUAACCAUUAAUGGUUUUUAUUUCAAGGUUUAGCUUUAAAUUCCUUAGAAUCACCUUGAAUGGCCAAUACUUGGUAAGCUUUUCGGAUUCUAUGGAUGCUUAUUGCUAGAUCCAUGGAUGUCCAUUAGUUAUCAAGUACGAGCCAUUGGAAGGUGGUUCAAGGUGAGAAUCACCUUGAAUGGUCAAUACUUGGUAAGCUUUCUAGAUUCUACGGAUGCUUAUUGCUAGAUCCAUGGAUGUUCAUUAGUUAUCAAGUACGAGCCAUUGGAGGGUGGUUCAAGGUGAGGGUCUUUAGUGUUUGAAGCCAUUAAUGGAAAACAACUACCAUUUUUCAUGAACCAUUUGGAUCAAAUCUUAAUUGCUAAAUACAAAACCGGUUCAGGAGAUAACCAUCCUUUAUGUUAUUGUCCUCAAUGCGAGGAGAAGAUUCGGAAUCUCCCCCUUUGCCUAAGGAACCUGAUCGUAGUGACUUAAAGCUCCAAGAGACAUUCUCUUUGUAGUUAACUUCAAUUGUUAUUUUUGCUUAACUUAAAAUCAACUUUUUCAACCACAAUUCCAUUUUCUUUAAAAGCUAAUUUUCAUAAGGAAAAACACCAUUUCAUUACCUUCACUAAAUUCACUUGUACGAAGAAAACCCAUCCCUGUGGACGAUUCUAGAGCCACUAUACUAUAGUAGCCAUGCUACCCUAGUGUAAGGUGAUUUAGGUUUUAUAAAUUUUGUUGAUAACACCCGUCUGGCGCAAUAAUCAAAUGACACCUUUGCUGGGGAAGAAUCAAAUGGCACAGCUACCGAGGAUGGUGCCAAAGUACAUUGACAUUACUUUUGAUGAACAUUUGUGAUCUUCAUCACAAGUUUGGUGAUUUUUCUUUUACUAAGUUUUUUUCUUUGUCUCUAUUUUAGCUUAUCUUUUAUUUAGUUUUUAGCUAACCUUAACCGCUUCCUAGAAUUGUAUUUCUUUUGUUUUCUUUGUUUUUGUUUCAAUGAUCUCUAGUUGUGCAUGCCCUAUUGGAUAAGAGAUAUUGAAGGAAGACUUGUGAAGAUUGAAACUCCUCAAGAAACUAAGUUUGAAGUGUGCUUGAACAUCAUGGAUGUUCCACCUGAAGACCAGAAUAACCAACAUGGUCAAGAGGAUAAUUUCAAUGCAUACUGAUCCAUGAGGAACCCCAUGCAUCCACCUCGUAUGAGUGCACCUUUAUGCAUAGUGCCUUUCACUGAACAUCUAGUAAUCCGACCUCACAUUGUGCCACUCCUACCUACUUUCCAUGGGAUGGAAAGUGAGAAUCCCUACUCGCAUAUUAAGGAAUUCAAGGAGGUUUGUAAUACAUUCCAAGAAGGAGGAGCUUCAAUUGACUUGAUGAGGCUCAAGCUAUUUUCUUUCACCUUGAAGGAUAAGGCCAAUAUUUGGCUCAAUUCUCUAAGGCCAAGGAGUAUCCGAACUUGGCCUGAUUUGCAAGCCGAGUUUCUCAAGAAGUUCUUCCCUACUCAUAGGACCAAUGGUUUGAAAAGGCAAAUUUCGAACUUCUCAGCUAAAGAGAAUGAGAAAUUUUAUGAGUGUUGGGAGAGGUACAUGGAAGCUAUUAAUGCUUGUCCUCACCAUGGCUUUGACACAUGGCUCUUAGUGAGCUAUUUUUACAAUGGUAUGUCUUUUUCAAUGAAGCAACUCCUAGAAACUAUAUAUGGAAGAGACUUCAUGAGUAAGAAUCCGGAGGAAGCCAUGAAAUUUUUGAGUUAUGUGGUUGAAGUUUCAAGAGGAUGGGAUGAACCAAAUGCUAGAGAGGUGGAAAGAAUGAAGUCUCAACCUAAUGCUAAGGGUGGGAUGUAUGUUUUGAAUGAAGACAUUGACAUGAAGGCAAAGGUUGCAGCUAUGGCAAGGAGAUUGGAAGAGUUAGAAAUGAAAAAGGUACAAGAAGUGCAAGCUAUUUCUGAGACAUCAGUGCAAGCUAUGCCUUGUUCCAUUUGUCAAUCUUAUGAGCACUUGGUGGAGGAGUGUCCUACCAUUCCAGUAGUGAGAGAGAUGUUUGGUGAUCAAGCAAAUGUUAUUGGUCAAUUCAAGCCCAAUAAAAAUGCUUCAUAUGGCAACACCUACAAUUCAAAUUGGAGGAACCAUCCAAAUUUCUCUUAGAAACCAAAGCCACCUCAGUACGUGAUUACUACCGAAAAGUGCUAUUUUGUAGACCUAAUUAUAAGGGUUUUAAGCACCUUUGAGUAGUAAUCAUAUUCAUUUAACCCAAUUAAUUCAUUAAGCUCCUUAGUAAUUAGUUCUAACCAUUUUUAGUGGCAAGUUUACAUGUUUUUCAUCAACUUAUGAACCAAUUCAAGCAUGCCAAUUGAUGGAGGAGCUACUUGGGCGAGUUAAGCAAGGAUUUUGGACGUUUACAGGCUUGAAUUUCAAGUGGAAACACGAGCACAAGCAAUGGGAACACCAUUUUGCAAGGGGAGGCAAUUCACCUUGCCAAAUGAACAAUUUCGCAAGGUGAAUUUCACCUUACCAAAAUUUCGCAAGGGGAUUUUCCUCAUGGUGCGAAAUUUGGCCAUUUCGCACCAUGAAGAAAACACCUUGCGAAAUUUCGCAAGGUGGAUUUAGGCACCUUGCGAAAUGACAAAUUUGAGACGUUGUUGAUGAUAUUCCACUGCCGGUUCUCCAAGAUAUUUUGCUUGACUUUUAGCUUUGUAAAUACCUAUUUUAUCCUUGUAAUCAACCAAUGAAAAGGUUGCUUUUGUAAUAGCUCUUGUAAUUUAGCUUUUUAUUGUCUUUAAAUAGAGGUGAAGAGCCUCAGACACGAUCAUCUUGUAACCUGUAACUUUAUAAGUUGUAAGAGCACUUUUGUUCAUACGCUUCUUUUAUCUUUUCUUUCUCAUUUUCUUAGUAGCCAAACAUCCUUGGAGGAUGAAAUCCCCAAGGAUGAGAGGCUAAAACCUUUUAUUUUCUUGAAGUAAUGGAUGCCAUGUGAAGCUCCCGUGUCAGGAUGGAGAUUUCCAAGCCAUAAAUGUAAGUAGCUGAGCGUCAUAAAUGUUUUCAUUCAAAGUAAAGCUUUUAAUCCCUUUGACUUGCUUUGAAUGACCAAUACUUGGUAACCUUUUGGUCUCAGUGGAUUCUUAUUGUUAGAUCCACUGACGUUCAUUAGUUAUCUUCUACGAGCCAUUGUAUUGCAAGUCAAGGAGAUGACCUAUACCAAUAAAAGAGCAUUUAUGAGGUUCAACUACCCUUUUUGUAAGUUUUCAAGGACUAAAACUCAGUUGUUAAACUCAUACCGGUUCGGGAAGUAAGCAUCACCUUAGUUGCUUCCCCAACUCGAGGUGAAGAGUCCCAAAAUCUCAAUUUUUACACAGUGAGUUAAGCAUGGCUAUCCAAAGCUUUGAGAAACUUCUUUUUCCAUCUUUUAACCUAUUUUCAUGUUAGUUUAGUUUACAACGCCUUCAUCUUUUUAUGUUUUCAUUUUAACCUAAUUUUUAUUAAGAAAAGUUCACUCCAUCCUCCGAACUUCACUAGUUAAAGUAAAAACCCUUCCCAGUGUUCGAUCCUAGAGCCACUAUGCUAUAGUAGCUUUGCUACUUUAGUGUAAGGACCUUAGGUAUAAUUUUUGUUGAUACCCUUACAUGCCAAGCUACCAAGAGGCGGGUUAUCAGUACGCACAACCUGCUCAAGCACCUCAGCAAGACUCGAAUCUUGAACAAGCUAUUGUGAACCUUAGCAAGGUUGUGGGAGACUUUGUGGGAGAUCAGAAGUCCAUCAAUGCUUAACUGAAUCAAAAAAUUGAUAGUGUGGAGAGUACAUUGAACAAAAAGAUGGAUGAGAUGCAAAAUGAUCUGUCUUAGAAGAUAGACAAUGUCCAAUACGCAAUCUCAAGGCUUACCAACCUCAACACAGUGCAAGAGAAAUGAAAGUUUCCUUCUCGACCUCAUCAAAAUCCUAAGGGUAUCCAUGAAGUGGAGGCUCAAGAGGGAGAAUAUUCAAAGGUGAGGGAAGUCAAAACAGUUAUCACCUUGAGGAGUGGUAAAGAGGUUGAUCAGCCCACAUCCAAGCCAAAGCAUGAUGAAGAGAGUGUAGCAGAAAAAGAAAAGAGUGAGGAAAUUAAAGAAAAGAGAAAAGAGAAAAGUACAAAGAAAGAUGACCAUGAUUCUAGUGUGGAUGAAGAACCCGAGAGGAUAGUCAUCAAGGAAGAUAUGAUGAAGAAACACAUGCCUCCACCUUUUUCCCAAGCUUUGCAUGGAAAAAAGGGAACCAAUAAUGCAUAAAAAAUGUUUGAAAUGUUGAGGCAAGUGAAGGUCAAUAUCCCUUUGCUAGACAUGAUUAAACAAGUGCCGACAUAUACAAAAUUCUUGAAGGACUUGUACACUGUAAAAAGAGGGUUGAAUGUGAACAAUAAAGCCUUCUUGACUGAGCAAGUGAGUGCCAUCAUAUAGUGCAAGUCUCCAGUGAAGUACAAAGAUCCGGGUUGCCCUACCAUCUCAGUAAGUAUUGGAGGGACUUGUGUGGAGAAAACUUUGUUGGACUUGAGAGCAAGUGUGAAUUUUCUACCCUACUCUGUUUACACGCAGUUAGGACUUGGAGAGUUAAAGCCAACAUCCAUCACUCUAUUUCUGGCAGAUAGAUUAGUGAAGAUUCCAAGAGGGAUGAUCAAAGCUGUCUUGGUUCAAGUUGACAAAUUCUACUAUCCAGUGGAUUUUGUUGUUCUUGAUACGAAUCCGGUUGUCAAAGGAACUAAUUAUGUUCCUAUCACACUUGGAAGACCAUUCCUAGCUACAUCAAAUGCAAUCAUCAAUUGUAGGAAUGGAGUCAUGCAACUCAUGUUUGGUAGCAUGACAGUAGAGCUCAACAUCUUCCAUUUGUGCAAGAAGCAUAUCCAUUCGGAAGAAGAAGAAGGUCCAAAGGAAGUGUGCAUGAUUGACACUUUAGUGGAGGAGCAUUGUGAUAAGAGAAUGCAGGAGGAUUUGAUUGAGAGUCUUGGGGAUCUUGAUGAAGGGUUACCUGAACCCUCAGAUUUGCUUGCUACCCUGUCUCUUUGGAGGAGGAUAGAAGAAAUUAUACCCUUAUUCAAUGAGGAGGAGACACAAAAAGCUGCUAAGGAGGAGCCCCCAAAGCUUAUUCUUAAGCCACUACCCAUAAAGUUGAAGUAUGCAUACUUGGAAUAAGACAAGUAGUGCCCUAUUGUUAUAUCUUUAGCUUUUACCAUUCAUCAGGAGGAUUGUCUACUUGAAGUCCUUAGAAGAUGUAAGAAGGCAAUAGGGUGGCAAAUUUCUAAUUUGAAAGGGAUCAACCCUUUAGUCUGCACCCAUCAUAUUUACAUGGAGGAUGAAACUAAGCCAGUUCGUCAACCUCAGAGAAGGUUGAACCCUCACAUGCAAGAGGUGGUGUGAGCUGAAGUUCUUAAGCUGCUUCAGGCUGGUAUUAUCUACCACAUAUCAGAUAGCCUAUAGGUGAGUCCUACUCGAGUUGUGCCAAAGAAGUCUGAGAUCAUGGUGGUGCAAAAUGAUAAGGGGGAAGAUGUCUCUACAUGCCUCACUACAGGUUGGAGGGUGUGUAUCGAUUAUAAGAGGUUGAAUGCAGUGACAAGGAAGGACCAUUUCCCAUUGCCCUUUAUUGAUCAGGUGCUUGAGAGGGUCUCUGGGCAUCAUUUUUAUUGUUUCUUGGAUGGCUACUUCGGAUACUUUCAAAUAGAAAUUGAUGUUGAAGACCAGAAGAAGACCACUUUCACGUGCCCAUUUGGCACCUAUAUAUGCAUAUAGGAGAAUGUCUUUCGGCUUAUGCAAUGCACCCGCAACUUUCCAAAGAUGCAUGUUAAGCAUUUUCAGUGAUAUGGUGGAGCGUAUUAUGGAAGUCUUUAUGGAUGAUAUCACCAUAUAUGGAAGUGCAUUUGAUGAAUGCUUGGUCAACUUAGAAGCUGUUCUGAACCGAUGCAUUGAGAAAGACUUAGUGCUUAACUGGGAGAAGUGCCAUUUCAUGGUACAACAAGGGAUUGUCCUUGGGCACAUCAUCUCCAAGCAAGGCAUUGAAGUUGACAAAGCAAAGGUUGAACUCAUUGUCAAGUUGCCAUCCCCAACAAAUGUCAAAGGAAUAAGACAAUUCCUUGGCCAUGUCGGGUUCUAUAGGAGGUUUAUCAAGGAUUUCUCUAAGCUUGCAAGGCCUCUUUGUGAACUAUUGGUGAAUGAUGCUAAAUUCAUAUGGGAUGAUAGAUGCCAAAGGAGUUUUGAAGAAUUGAAGCUAUUUCUGACAACCGCACCAAUAGUGAGGGCUCCCAACUGGCAACUACCCUUUGAGGUAAUGUGUGAUGCCAAUGACUUUGCCAUAGGAGCUGUUCUUGGGCAAAGAGAAGAUGGAAAACCCUAUGUGAUCUAUUACGCGAGCAAGACAUUGAAUAAGGUGUAAAGAAACUACACAACCAUCGAGAAAGAAUUAUUAGCUGUAGUUUUUGGCUUGGAUAAGUUUUGUGCUUACUUGGUGGGGUCCUUCAUUGUGGUUUUCACUGAUCACUCUGCUUUGAAGUAUCUGUUGACUAAGCAAGAUGCUAGAGCAAGGUUGAUUAGAUGGAUCCUCUUGCUUCAAGAGUUCAAUCUCCAGAUCAAAGACAAGAAAAGAGUGGAGAAUGUGGUAGCAAACCACCUUUCAAGGCUAGCUAUCGCACAUAAUUUCCAUGGUUUGCCCAUCAAUGAUGAUUUUCCAGAAGAGUCUCUCAUGUUGGUGAAAGUUGCUCCUUGGUAUGCUCAUAUUGCUAACUAUCUAGUCAUAGGAAAAAUUCCAAGUGAGUGGAAAACACAUGAUAAGAAGCACUUCUUUGCAAAAAUUCAUGCCUACUAUUGGGAAGAGCCAUUUCUAUUCAAGUAUUGUGCGAAUAAGAUAAUAAAGAAGUGUGUUCUUGAAGAAGAGCAACAGUGGAUCCUCAGUCAUUGCCAUGAAAAUGCAUGUGGAGGCCACUUUGCUUCUCAGAAGACAACCAUAAGGGUGUUGCAAUCGGGUUUUUGUUGGCCAUCACUUUUCAAAGAUGCCCACACCAUGUGCAAGAGUUAUGAUCGAUGCCAGAGGGUUAGGAAGUUGACAUGCAGGAACAUGAUGCCUUUGAACUGUGGACCCGCAUUUUUCACGUGCGUCCCCACUCGAUCGGCGAGACUCGCUUUUUAUUUAUUUGUGAAAAUUUGAUUUUUUGAAAAAAAGUUGGAGUCGCCACUUAUUUUAUUUUUAUUUUUAUUUUUGAAGGGAAAAUAAAACAAGAAAUAAAACCCUAAAAAAAAUGACUCCAUAAUUUUUGGAAAAGCGUGUCUUUGAAAACCCAAGUCUUGGUCCGGGGAUCCGGUUACUUAUUGGGAAGGUACCUCUAGGAGGUAGCACCCCUCUAAGCCCUAAAGAGGUCUCUACUAAUUAAGUUAAGGGGAAUAUGGCAAUUAAUCGGUUAAUUAUGGAUACCUAAGUAGGCUAGGUGAUUUCAAAAGAUUUGCAUGCUAAACAAGAUCAAAUCACAAAAAACGGAGAGUUAGGGUGCGUACCUGAACCGCUCUUCAAGCGCUAUCAUAAAACAUCAGAGUUAGUAUAGAAGUAUAACACACAACAUGUAUUUAAUCAUAGUGAAUCAAGCAUACAUCUAAACACCUAAGGAUUAUCAAACAUAUGCAUACUUCACAGUGACAUGAUUGUUUACAAAAUUUAGAAAGUAGGUGAUAGGGGGGUGUACCUGGAUAGCAUAGAUAACUUACAAUGCGCUUCCAUAAGACAUGAGGGAUUAGAUAAUAAUAAAAUAAAGAAACCCUAGCAUGCUUGUUAUCUAAUUAGCAUAACAAAAAUUAUCAAAGUAUAUGAAAACAUUAAUUAUCACACACAUCUUGUAUACAAUUCCUAAAAAAGAUAGACAUAAUUUCAACAAGUGACAAAAAUGGCAACAAAAAUAAUUUUUGAAAAGAUUUUCUUAUGUAGGGGUUUCACCAAUUCCCCAAUUGAUAUACACGAAUUUAGCCCAGAAUCAUCCCAUUAUUUGGGACCACAAGCUUUGAUUCGUGUUUUUGUUCAAAACCAAAAUUUUUGUUGAAAACCGAGAAGGAUGCAAACCGAACAAGAUAUGGUUGCAUAUUAUUUUUAAAUAAUAAUAAAAAAAGAGAUUUUGAUCCUGAGGACUCUAAAUGAGUUUUUGAAAUAGAUUUUUAAAAUGAUUUUUUUGAGAAAAGUAUUUUAUUUUAAAAUAAAAGGAAUUAAUUUGGAAAAAAUAAAAUAUAAGAAAUAAAAUACCCAACAAAACAAAAAUGAAACCUCAAAGUAAAAUUUUUUUAGUAAUUAACAAAAAUGAUAAUGGUGAUGGUAGAGGCCAAUCUUCAUGAUUUUCCAAUGGCCUUUGAACAAAAAGGAAACUAUCAAAAUAAUAAAUUAUUAAUAUUUAGAUCAAAUAAGCUAAUGAAAUAUCCAUCAAGAAUUAGCAACAAGGAUUCAAGAAGCGCAUAAAUUGAGAAUAACAAUCCAUAAUUAACAUAAGAUUAACUAAACACAUAAAUGCCUCUAGACUAAAAAAAUAAAUUAAAUCAAGGUUAAACUUUAUCUAACGGGAUUAAUUAAACUAAUGUAUUCAAAUCACAAACACAUACAAGUGAAGAACAAAUUAAAACUAAAUUAAAUUGUAAUUAAAAACAUGAACUUUAUUUAAUAAGAUUAAUUAAACUACUAAAUUACAAUUACAAACACAUCCAAAUUAAAAAUAAAUAAAAGCUAAACUAAAUCGGAAUUUCAAAUAUGAACUUUAUCUAACAAGAUUAUUUAAACUAAUGAAUUAAAAUCACAAAUAUACUUAAACUAAAAGAUAGGUUAAAACUGAACUAAUUUAGAAUUAAAAAAAUAUAAACUUUAUCUAACAUGAUUAUUUAAACUAAUAAAUUAAAAUCACAUACAUAUUUAAACUAACAAAUAAAUUAAAAAUAAACUAUUUUGGGAUUAAAAACAUGAACUUUAUCUAACAUAAUUAUUUAAACUUAAGAAUUAAGAUCAACUAAUGCAUUUAAACUAAAAACGAAUUGAAAUCAAACUAAUUGAGAUUAAAAACACAAACUUUAUUUAACGUGAUUAUUUAAAGUAAAGAAUUAAAAUCAACAAAAUACAUUUAAACUAAAAACAAAUUAAAAUCAAAUUAAUUGGGAUUAAAAAUACAAAAUUUAUUCGAUAUGAUUAUUUAAACUAAAGAAUUAAGAUCAACAAAAUACAUUUAAACUAAAAAACGAAUUGAAAUCAAAUUAAUUGGGAUUAAAAAUACAAACUUUAUUUAACGUGAUUAUUUAAAACAAAGAAUUAAGAUCAACUAAUGCAUUUAAAUUAAAAAUGAAUUGAAAUCAAACUAAUUGGGAUUAAAAAUACAAACUUUAUUCAAUACAAUUAUUUAAACUUAAGAAUUAAAAUCAACUAAUGCAUUUAGAUUAAAAAUGAAUUGAAAUCAAACUAAUUGGGAUUAAAAAUACAAACUUUAUUCAAUACAAUUAUUUAAACUUAAGAAUUAAAAUCAACAAAAUACAUUUAAACUAAAAAACAAGUUAAAAUCAAACUAAUUGGGAUUAAAAAUACAAACUUUAUUCGAUAUGAUUAUUUAAACUUCAGAAUUAAGAUCAAUAAAAUGUAUUUAAACUAAAAACGAAUUGGAAUCAAACUAAUUGAGAUUAAAAACAUAAACUUUAUUUAACGUGAUUAUUUAAAGUCAAGAAUUAAGAUCAACAAAAUACAUUUAAACUAAAAAACAAAUUAAAAUCAAACUAAUUGGGAUUAAAAAUACAAACUUUAUUCGAUAUGAUUAUUUAAACUAAAGAAUUAAGAUCAACAAAAUACAUUUAAACUAAAAAACGAAUUGAAAUCAAAUUAAUUGGGAUUAAAAAUACAAACUUUAUUUAACGUGAUUAUUUAAAACAAAGAAUUAAAAUCAUUAACAAACUUAAACUAAAAGAUAGAUUAGAAUUAAACUAAUUGGGGAUUUAAAAAGAAAAAAAUAUAAACUUUAACACAAAGAAUUAAUCAAAAACUAAAAUUUCCAAAAAAAAAAGCUAGGCUAAAUAAAAGUACUAUAUAGAAAACUAACCUUUGAAGUGAAAGAGAAAAUCCUCUCUUGAUGAUUAAAUGACAGCCCGAUCUCCGUUCGAAGUCCCUUGCUUUUUUCCAAAAUUCCGUGUGCUCUGCCCCCCAAGAAAAAUCCCUCCUUCUUUUCCUUUUCUCACCUAUAUAUAUCACCCCUCAAGACCUAAAUUUGUUUCCGAAAAGGAAAAUUCUCCUCCUUCCUUUCUUCUUCUCUUCUUUUUUUAAAUCCUCCAAUCAAAAGCAAUCUUCCCAAUUUCAAAUCCCCCUCCAAAACCUUCCAAGGAGAGUCCCAUCUUCCUUAAACUCCAAUGGUAAGUUUCCUUGCAAAAACAUGAAAUUUUUGAAGUUAAAUAAUUGCAUGUAUAGAUAAAUAAGUAAAUAAAUUAAAAAAUGGUAAAAAUAAUAAAUAAAUAAAUAAGUUAAGGAAAAUAAUAUAAAGAGGAAGAUAACCAAUAAAAAGUGAAUGAUAAUCAUAAAAUUAAAAUUAAAAACAAAAUAAAUAAAUAAAUAAAUAAAAUAAAAUAAAAUAAAAUAAAAGUCUUCGUAGGCCUAGUGUGCCUAAACGGGCCUAAGGUGAGACUAAGUGGGCCUAGGGUAGUGCCUAAUGGGCCAAGUGUAUCUAAAAGCUAUCCUAAAAAAACAAGAAAAGCCUAAGUCUAAGUUAGGGCUGCCAAGGGUCACAAUAAGGGAUCAAAUAAUCCCUCAACCAAAAUCUCCGAGGUGACUCAGAAAAAGGUAAGUGGUAUGAGUAGCCAUGGGCCACCAAGGAACUAUUGUGGAGCAUUGAAAAUGAAUUUUAAAGACAUGUGCUAAAGGGACAAAAUUGAGGGUCUACAUGAACCCUAUUUUGAUAGUUGAUUUUUUUUAUGUUUGGGGCAUUGACUUCAUGGGACCAUUCGCUAUGUCUUUUGGCUACUCUUACAUCUUGGUGGGAGUAGAUUAUGUUUCUAAGUGGGUUGAGGUAGUCCUAUGCAAGCACAAUGACCAUAUAGUGGUUAUCAAAUUUCUUAAGGAGAACAUCUUCUCAAGAUUUGGGGUGCCCAAAGCCAUAAUUAGUGAUGGGGGUACUCAUUUUUGCAACAAGCCUUUUGAAACUCUCUUAUCCAAGUAUGAGGUGAAGCAUAAGGUAGCUACACCUUACCACCCUCAAGCUAGUGGGCAAGUUGAGUUAGCAAACUGGGAGAUUAAAAACAUAUUGAUGAAGGAGGUGAACACGAACAAAAAAGAUUGGUCUGUCAAGCUCCUUGAUUCACUAUGGGCAUAUAGAACAACUUACAAGACCAUUCUUGGGAUGUCUCCUUAUCGCCUAGUCUAUGAAAAAACAUGCCAUCUUCCUGUGGAAUUGGAAUACAAGGCUUAGUGGGCAAUCAAACAGCUCAACAUGGAUUUGAGCAGCGUUGGGUUGAAGAGUUUCUUAAACCUCAAUGAGUUGGAGGAACUGAGAAAUGAUGCCUACAUCAAUUCAAAAAUUCUAAAAGAGAGAUUAAAGAAGUGGCAUGAUCAGUUGGUUUUCCGCAAAGAUUUUCAAAAGGGACAAAGAGUCUUGCUCUAUGACUCUAAGCUCCACAUCUUUUUAGGCAAGCUGAAAUCAAGGUGGAUAGGUCCUUUUACCAUUCACCAAGUGCAUUCAAAUGGAGUAGUGGAACUACUCAACUCCAACAACACCAGUAACUUCAAAGUGAAUAGCCACCGUCUCAAGCCUUUUGUGGAGCCUUUUUUUCGUGACAAGGAGAAAUUCAUCCUCCUUGAUCCACAUCAAGCUUGACAAGACCAGUUUUUGGAUGGACUUAGUCUUUCUAAAGACUAUCAAGUCCAUACCUUUUUGUUUUAUUUUUGAUUUGAGAGUUUUCUUGUAUUGUAACUUGUUUUGAUUUUGAUUUCUCGCUUUAAUUUCAUUUUGGUUUGAUUUAACUUAGGUUUUUGAUGAUCAAUUUCAGGGGGGACUUCAAAGCAGUUGGACAUGUCCUUAAAGAUUCUUGGCAGAGGAAAAACCAUGAAGAAAAAAAUUCACCAAGGCAUUUCGCACACCCUUGCGAAAAUUUCGCAGGGUAUGCGAAACCCUUCUCAAAUAGUAAGUGUCACCCCGUGCCUUUAUUAUGGUGUCACCCUGUGCCUCUGUUCUGGUUCCACCCUCUGUUCACACGUCUCCUCUCACAUCUCAUUCCUCCGUUCUUUUCCCAUUCGACACCCCCCUUCGAGCACGGACCUGAGGGGCCCUUGUUGCCCCUUCGUAGAGUCGCACUCCGAGGCAGAGAGCCUCCUAUGCUCGGGUGUCUCGUGAUUUUCCACCUCAGGAGGCCACCACAGAGGCCCCGCAAAUUCCCCUUUCUGAAGGUGGAGCGCCUACUAGUCCAUUCUCUUUUGCUCCUCAACACAAGUAUGAGACUAGGAGACCAGCUACUACACAAGGGGCGACUGCUUCACACCCUCAGAGUUCAGUGCGGCGCCCUCCUGCCAAGAGGGCCAGGAUUUCAAGCCCAGGCGAGUCAUCCAGAGCUUCACAGCCUGAGUCUCCUGUUGCUACACAUGCUCGAGCUCCUGCAUAUUAUGAGUUUCCUUCCGACAUGUCACCGGGGUCUAAUAUUAGAUGCCCGAUGCUCACAGCACUGCCCAUUGAGGGCAACUUAGAUUGCAGAUCGAGGCCUUUCCACUUGGAGUCCUAUUUUGAUCAGGAGGUUUUCCGAUAGAAGCCUGAGCUCCGAGACUCUUAUGGCCUACUAUAGAGGUACUAUCUUGAGCAGCUUAUGACUCCUUGUUAGUUCUUUUAUCCAGAGUAGCAUUAGACUUUUACCAGUCCAUGACUACUCAUGGCGUCCCGAGUCCUACCUCGAUUCACUUCACCAUUGAUGGACGUCAUGGUAUCCUCGAGGCCAGAGAUAUUGCAGAGGCUCUACAGAUUCCUUUCAAGCUAGUUGAUCCAUCUGCUUUCCGCCAGUGGUCCCCAGUAUCUCAGAGAGACAUGGUACGCAUUUUAUCCAAGAGGACCUCUAUAGAUUUGAUUCUUAUUCAAAAGGAGAUUCCACCUAGGAUGCUCCUCGUAGAUGUGGUGCUACGCUCCAACCUCUUUCCCCUACAACAUUCGGUACAGAGGCGAGGAGCUAUCUUGGAUGUUUUGUUUCUCAUAUCAGAGGGCUUCUAUUUUGGCCCACACCACUUGAUCAUGGCCUUCCUCGUCCACUUUGAAGAGAAGGUCCAUAGGAAAAAGCUUUAGAGGGUGGACACCAUUCCAUUGCUAUUCCCGAGGUUGCUUUGCCAGAUCUUGGAGCAUAUGGGUUUUCCUACUGAGCCUUAGCACGAGCGCCGCUACAUUUGUCGAGAGUGAUUCACUAUUGAAAAAUGGAAUCAGUUGGUGGGCUAUUUUGCACCUCUAGGAGCCCAUCCCAUGGUAGCACCUCCAGAGCCCCCACAGACGGAGCAAACAUAGUCUACUUUAGUACCUAUAGAGCAGGGCGAGCUUCCAAUAGAGACUAUACCACUUGUCUCUGCAUCACCUACUUCAGCACCACCAGAGCCCAUGUCUGAGACUGUUUCUGUUGCUCCCCAUUUGACUCCUACUGUUCCAUCUGUUGCUCCUACUGCAUCCGAGCCUUCCAUCACCAUCUCUACUUCCAACACGACCUUGUAGUUACCUUGUAGACACUGUCCACCACACACGCCGCUCUCUUCCAACAGAUGGCUGAGAUGUGUUCCCAGCAGAACCAGUAGACUGCUAUACUUCACCAAAUCCAGCAGCACCUAGGUCUUCUGCCUCCACUUCAGCCUGACUUUCCUGCAUCAUCAGAGCCUUUAGCUCCAAUUGAGGAUACUAUUCCAGCUGAGGACACUACCACAAUAGAGGUCCAGAUCCUGCCACCUCAGGAGGCCAUCACAGAUGCCAUUGCUUCAAUUGAUCCUCAGGAUGAGCCUCAGACAGUUGACACAGUCACAACUACACCUGAGGAUGCAUCAUCUCCACAUGAGGUUCCCACUACUUGAUCAUAGGACAUCUCUUUAUCUUAUUGUAUUUACAUAUUAUAUUAGUGGAGAUUGUUCCUUGUUUUGAUGUUUUAUAUUCUGGGAUUGGAUGUAUUACCUGAUGAUAUCUCAUAUUGUACUUUUUCAGAUUAAUAUAUAGACAUCAUUUUUUAUUAUACUUGGCAUUUUUCUAUUUCCUCUACUCAUUACUUUUUUUUUUUUUUGACUCAUGUGGUUUCUCCUAUAUGACUCAGACUCCAUUUCACUCAGGAGGUACCAUGUCCUCCCUUUAUUUUCAAUUUCUCUUGACACAUUGAGGGUAAUGUUGAUCUUGGUUGGGGGGAGAGUUGAGGAAGGAAAUAUUGUUAAUAAUGCUAGGUUAAUUUGUUAAUUUAGUUACUCUAUGGUUAUUAAGGAAAAAUUCUUAAAAUGAAAUGAGAGAAAUUGAGUUCUUACAUUUUUACUUGAAUCUUAGAGUUUGUAUUAUGCUUAUUGAGGUUGAUGAAUUAUUGAAACUCCUAUUGAAUUCAACCUUAUUUCUUCCACUUUAAUCUUACCACACACUGUGCACAUUAGGUUCCAUUUAUAAGAUGAAAAACUAUCUCACCUCCUGAACUUAGGAAAAUUUCGACUUGGUAUCUUUGACCUCGUUUUAAUAGUGUUGGGACACCUUAUAAAAGGUCAAUGAGCCUUCAAAAAAAAAAAAAAAAAAAGAACAAAGUGUUUCACUUGCCUUGAAACCCGAGCAAGGUCUGAGGGGUAUAUGGCAAAAGUCUUUAAAACCCGGUGCCCUAAGCCUUUAUUGGUUAGGAGUCACUGAUCUCAAUGUUCGUUACAAGGGUGAAUAGGUGGAGUUUAACAUAUUGUAGGUGAUUGGGUAUUGAAUUUCAAUCUCAAAAAUCCGAGGUGAAAUUUGAGGAGUUAGUGGUCAAAAAAUUCUUAAAGCUUGAUGCCCUAAACCUUGAUUAGUUGGGAGUCAUCGAUGGAUCCCUGUUACAUGGACACUUUAGAAAACAAUACCUUUAGCAUUGCACUCCUACAAUGAAAAAAAAAUUGUGAAAUAAAAGAGGUGCGUUCUUAGCCUAUUGGAGGUUGGUCAGUUUGCUAAGGUUUGAGAAAGAACUAGGUUUGGGGGGAGGGGAGAAUAGUUCAACAUACUAUAAUCGGAAACUAAUAAGCUUAACACUUAGAUUUUUGUGGAAGAGUAAGGAUUGGAUCUUUGGGAGUGGAAAUUCUUUUGAUGCUUAAAUUUGCAUAAUGCAUACUCUUUAUAAAUUGUGAUUAAGUAAGGAUUGAUGACUCUUGUUGAAGGUUGGGUUUUGCCUCUUUGAUGUUCCAUGAGAAAGUAUGAUCCGCAUUAUGCCACUUGAAAUUUUUUUGGAGUGAUUAGCAUGAUUUUAUAAAUUAUUUUAUUAUCUAUUUUUCUUUAUCUCUCCUUCAUUGCUAAGGGACUAGCAAUGUGUCGUUGGGGGGAGUGAUUACUACUCAAAAAGUGCUAUUUUAUAGCUUGAAAUUAACUAUUUUAAACACUUUUGAGUAGUAGUUAAUACUUUUUAACUCAAUUGGCACAUUAAGGAACUUAGCAAGGGUUACUAAUUAGUUUUUGGCUAGUUUUGGUGUUUUUGGUAGCUUUUUUAUCAUUGAAACAAGCAAAGAAUGAGGGAGAAUUUUGUGCAAUCCAUGGCAAUGCAAGUUGAAGCUCAAAUACAUGAAGAAUCUGAGUUUUGGAGCACUUUAUAGCCCUUUGCCAAGCUAAUUAGAGAUGCAAAGAAGAAAACUAGAGGAAGAAAUCCAACAUGUAACAAUUUCGCAUGUCUAUGCAAAAAUUUCGUAUAGCAUGCGAAAUCAAGAGGAGGAGCAACUGCUAGACUGAGUGAAGGACAAUUUCGCACACCCUGCGAAACCAUAAGAUGCAACAAAAAUGAAUUCCGCACACCAUGUGAAAUUUCGCAUGGUCUACGAAAUCUUCCUGUGCACCGACUCCGUUAGAUUUUUAUCUCUAGAUUUUUUGUAUAAAUUACUAUUUUCUCCUUGUAAUCAACCAAUGAUAGGAUUUCUUAGUUAGGAACUAUAAAGGGGGGUUGGAAAGACCUCUCUAUAUAUAAUAUAUUUUUGUAUAAUCUUUUGAAUGAUAGAUGACACUUGUAAUUCCUGUAGGAAGAAAUAUACAGAGCCUUUGCUCUGCCUUUCCUUCUCAUUUUGUUUUCAUUUUUCUUUCUAGCCAAACAACCUCUGAGGAUGAUUUCUCAGGGGAUGAGUGGCUAAGUUUUACAUUUCUUGGAGUGAUGGAAACUAGGUGAAGGACCCAGAUGCAAAGAUGAGAGUUUUCCUUGCUUUAAAUAAAGGUAGUUGUUAACCAUUAAUGGUUUUUAUUUCAAGGUUUAGCUUUAAAUCCCUUAGAAUCACCUUGAAUGGCCAAUACUUGGUAAGCUUUCCGGAUUCUAUGGAUGCUUAUUGCUAGAUCCAUGGAUGUCCAUUAGUUAUCAAGUACGAGCCAUUGGAAGGUGGUUCAAGGUGAGAAUCACCUUGAACGGCCAAUACUUGGUAAGCUUUCUGGAUUCUAUGGAUGCUUAUUGCUAGAUCCAUGGAUGUUCAUUAUUUAUCAAGUACGAGCCAUUGGAAGGUGGUUCAAGGUGAGGGUCUUUAGUGUUUGAAGCCAUUAAUGGGAAGCAACUACCAUUUUUCAUGAACCCUUUGGAUCAAAUCUUAAUUGCUAAAUACAAAACCGGUUCAAGAGAUAACCAUCCUUUAUGUUAUUGUCCCCAAUGCGAGGAGAAGAUCCGGAAUCUCCCCCUUUGCCUAAGGAACCCGAUCCUAGUGACCUAAAGCUCCAAGAAACAUUCUUUUUAUAGUUAACUUCAAUUGCUAUUUUUGCUUAACUUAAAAUCAAUUUUUUCAACCACAAUUCUAUUUUCUUUAAAAGCUAAUUUUCAUAAGGAAAAACACCAUUUGAUUACCUUUACUAAAGUCGCUUGUACGAAGAAAACCCAUCCAUGUGGACGAUCCUAGAGUCACUAUACUAUAGUAGCCAUGCUACCCUAGUGUAAGGUGAUUUAGGUUUUAUAAAUUUUGUUGAUAACACCCGUCUGGCACAAGAAUCAAAUGGCACCGUUACUAGGGAGGAAUCAAUGUGCCAUCAAAUUACCCUACGUACUUGACCCAGUUACAAAUUAAAAUAGGGUUUGAAUUUAGCUAUAUCUUAUAUUCUGCAGUUCUUCUCUAUAGUCAACCUUUAAUAUAUGCAAGUUUUUUACAUAGCCACUUUGCACAUAUGGUGGCAUCACAGGUUCAGAUUCUCAUCUACUGGGUGGUAGCCAAGAAAACCUUUAUCAAGAGAUCAUCUUAGGUUUUUAUUGCUCAGAAAACAAGAAAUUAUUUGAAAAUUUUCUCCAACAGACUCAUUAGCUUGAACAUAGUUUAAACAAAAGUAAGGGUAUUUGUGCAACCAACUUCAUUGGAAAUUCAAUUCCAAGAAACAUUAUGGCAAGUCUACUAUUUUCUUUUUUAAUGAGGCAAUGAGUUUGUUUAAAUGUUUCUACCAACGUGGACAUGUAUAAGAAUUGUGCCAUUUUUCUCCAAAACUAAAAGGUGUUUUGUGAUGUGCAGUCUAGUCUUGAAAAGCUCACAUCAGGGAUGUUUUGCAUUUCAAACCUAUUUAUUUCUUUUUUUUUCACCCAUAUCAACACAUCUACUGCCAUCAUUAACUUGAGGUAUACCUAGAUAUGUUUGUGGUUGCAUGAGUUUGUGUUUGUAUCAAUUUUUUUUUUUUUAAAAAGGUGUUUGUGUUUGUAUCAAUGAAUACUAGACAUAGGUAGCGAGCUGGUGUUGCAUGUAUAGAAGUAAUGAGGAAUAUAGAAAGAAAGGAAAUGGAUGCAAGGGGUGUAGAAAACUCAAGGUUGGUCCUUAUUGAUUCCAAGUCUUUUGAGCUUAGAGUUGGACGGGUCAAGGGGUGGAGAGAUGUGUAGAUAGUGGAAAAAAGGCAAAGGUUAUCAGAGAUGGAUCAAAGUGAGUAGAUGAGUGUUGGAUUGGAUUUUGAAGUCCUUGGAUUCAUGCCAUAACUGGAGAAGGGAAAAACUCUUCAAGAGUGAGAUGAUCACAUAACCAACCUCAAAUAUUUUUGACAUAAGCUAUUAAGCUUUUAAUUCACAGUGACAACUAAUUAAGACAACUCCUAACAAUACUACCUUUAAGAAAAACCAAAUAUAUCUCAUUCUAACUGCAUGCUUAACCUUUUCUCUAUACCCAAAAUUUAUUUUUACGUAUUCAUAUCUAUGUUUGUUUUCUGAGAAAAGAUACAGGAACAAGAAAAUAGUUUGAAUAUUUAAAUUUUCAUGACUGGUAAACAUGUUUUCUAUGAGAAGUUUGCUAAACAUGUAAUUUGUUAUAAAAUAAACAACAUUUAUACACAAACUAGUUAAAAACCUAGCCUUACAUAAAACAUUAUGGGGUGAACAAUUGAUAUUCAUCUCAUCACAAACACGUAAAGGACCUUCAUCAAACAACAAAAAAACCACAUUAACAAGUACUUAUGCAAAUACUAUUUACAAUUCCAAAUCAAUUAAAUUGUCAAAAGAGAGUAGGUUUUACAUAUUAUUACUUCACAUACUUCAGUUGAUAACCCGACUCAUGGUAGCUUAGCUUUAAAGGCGUAUUAACAAAUUUAUACCUUAAAUACUAUUACUAAAGUAGCCAAGCUACUAUAGCAUAGUGGUUCUAGGAUCGUUCACUAGGAAGGGUUUUCGCAAACACAAGUGAUAUUCAAAUUAGGAAAAUAGGUGAUUUUCUUAUGGAUGUUAGCUUUAAAAAAAGAUGUAAAUGUUUUAGAAAGAUUUAAACUAAUCUAAGCUAACAUUAAAGACUAAAAUGAAAGGGUGUAAAAACAAGUUUCUCAAAGAUAGGAUAGCCAUGCUCUGGCUCUUAUGCAAAUUGGAAAUCUCAGGAUAGGCUCCUCGCGUUGGGUUUGCAACUAUGGUGAUGCUUGCUUCCCGAACCGGUAUGGAUUUAGCAAAUCAAGUUUUAAUCCUUGAAAAUGGCAAAACAGAUGGUAGUGAAUUUCAUCAAUGGUUAUUCACCUUAGACUUCCUUUGAAUGGCUCGUAAGAGAUAACUAAUGGUCUAAAGCCAAAAGCUUACCAAAUAUUGGCAACUCAAAGUCAUUCCAAGUGAUAAACUCACCUUUCAAUGGCCAUUGAAAUUGGUUCUAAUGGAUUAAUGCAAAACUUGGAAUUGAAAACCUCACCUUCCAAUAGCUCGUAGGAGAUAACUAAUGGAUAGAAAUCCAAAAGCUUAUCAAGUAUUGGCCGUUGGAAGUUGUCCAAAGGAAAUAAAAACCAAACUUUGCAUUAAUGAACCGUUAAUGAAAAACGACUACCUUACCUUCCAGGUGCGAGAAAUUUCCAUGGGAUUGCAUCCAAGCCAUCACAUAACAUCCAUACUUUGAGAAACUAAAAGUUUUAGCCAAUCAUCCUCUGAGGAAAAGCCCUCAGAGGUUGUUUGGCUACUAAGAAAAUAGAAAUGGGGCAGAACAGGAGAAGAGAGAAAAAUAGAGCUUUAUAUAUUCCUAAGUUAAUGUACAGAGGAUCGAUCCCCCAAUCAUCCCAUAUGUUUUGGAGGUGUUGUGCACCUCUAUAUAUAGCAAAAUUACAAGAUAAAGCCUUAUGUCGGCUGAAUGCAAGGUUACAAAAGGAAUUUACAUGAGAAAAUAACAAGCUACAAAUAUCUGGGAAGUCGGUGGUGCGUGCGUGGAGAAACAGAGGAAAUUUGGCAAGGUAAAAGGCACCUUGCGAAAUUUUCGCAAGGUGAAUUACUCAUGAUGCGAAGUGCCAUAUUUUCGCAUCAUGAGUUAAUUCACCUUGCGAAAUUUCGCAAGGUGGGUCUUCAUGGUGCGAAAUGGCCAAAUUUCGCACCAUGAAGAAAAUCUCCUUGCAAAAUUUUCGCAAGGUGAAAUUCACCUUGCGAAAUGGUGUUCCCAUGGCUUGAUGCAGUUGUUUUUCGAAGGUCAUAUCUUCCUCAUUUCAGCUCCAAAUCAUACACGGUUUGAAGCGUUGGAUUCUUGACUUCCUGAUCUUUGAAAUGGUAUAUAGAAUGUAGAAAAUGGACUUCGGGAAGUGCUCCAAAAGUGCGAAGGAAGACUGCAGCUGCUGUCCUCAGUUUUCUUCACUUUGCUUGUUUUUCCUCUUUGCUUCUCUCCUUUACUUGGCUUGUCUUAAUGAUCCAAAAAGCUGUCAAAACACUAAAACUAGCCACAAAUAUGAUUAUAAGUCAUUGCUAGGUCCUUAACAUGUCAAUUGGAAUAAAGAUUGAGAACUACUACACAAAAGUGCUUAAAACAUAAUGAAUUAAAGGUGUAAAAUAGCACUUUUUGGGUAGUAAUCAGCAGUACAAUUCCAAAUAUCAUAUUAGGUGGCUAGUAAUUGAAAAAUAGUUUGUAGCUAAAUGCAUAGUAUAUCUAGUUCCAAGACACAAACAUCUUUACCUUAAACUUUGUCCCAACACUUUGCUUCUACGAAUCAAAUGCACCUAAGGAUAAAUGACUAGCUUGCUUUUGGGAGUGGUCGAGCAAAUUAGAGGCAAACAAUUGAGGAAGAUUGCAACUACAUGAUGAGAGAAGUUGUAUUGAAUUAGAGUGAAGAGGAUCUCUGUUCUUUUCCAAGAAGCCACUUGUAUAAUAAAGAACCUAGCAAACCUCCAAAUGUUAGUAAAUGCGUACACAACAAUAAAUCCUGAUUUUUGAAGGGUUUUCAUGAAUGAAUCAAGCCAACUCAGACAAGCACAGGGUAAUAUUUUAUAAGCAUCAAGCUAGUCAGUAAUUGUCGCUAUGCUAAUUUGAUCAAGAUAAGCAAACUCUACAAAACAUGUAACCAUUAAACCUCUUUAACAAGUGAUCAACAUCAAGUUAACUAGUCUAUGUUUGAAUUAACCUAAAUGUUUUCCCACAUCAUCAAAUAAAUUACAAUUUUUGUACACAAAGCCAAUUUCAAGAUGAGAAUUAAUUUAGAAAUUACAAUCAUGCAAUCAUAGAAGCUACUUUCCAAGUAACAACUUGUUUAGUAUUAAAAGACUCCUAAUCAAAACUCUUACUCGUUUCCCUAAACAAAUGGUAGACACUUCGUAAGAUAAACCUUAUUCUCUAAAGAAUUGUCUUCUUCUAGAUAAAAAAAAAAAGUAUAUGAAAUAAAUUGAGAAGAUAGUAAUGGUAACUUUUAAUCAAAGUUGGUCUCUAUCCUUAGAUAAAUAUUGUCUUUUUUAAGAAGUUAAUUUUUAAUGAUCCUUUCUUCUACUAAAUCCCUAAUUAACAUCAAUCUAAAAGAAACAUCUAAAGGUAAGCCUAAGUAUAUAAAUGUGAGACGUCCUACCCUUUAACCAACAAUUGAAACUAGUAAUUCCAUGUUCUCACAUUCUAUUUCGGAAAUAAAAUUUUCUAUUCAUUCAAAGAACCACCACAAAGAAAAGAAGGUUUACCCCACAACUAACAAUUAAUCAUUACCAUUUCCUAUCAAAUGAAAGAAUAGAACCCUUAGUAAAGAAUAAAUGAAAAAUUUAUAACCCUUCAACAUUAUUUCGUUGGUCAUAAAGCCUUGAAGGAAACCAUUAUUGAUGGCUCUUUGAACCAUAUAACUUGAGGCUUGUAUGACUACAUAAAAAAAUAUGAGGAAAAUGGAUUGCCUUGUCUCAAAACUAGUAAGAUUGGUGAAAAACCAAAAGGAGAUUUUGUUUUUUUUCAAUAUAGAGAAUUUGAUUGUAGUAUUGAUAAACUUAAUCCACCUAUUUUCACCCAUCAUGCCUAUGCCACUUACUUGCAUUUAAAAUGUCAAAGCCAAAAUAGUUUUCUCUCGAUGAGAUAAAAAAUUAAAAAUUAAAAAUUAAAAAUUUCAAAGAGUUCAAACUUUGCCACUCAUCCACAACUCCCUUGGUUUAAAUCCUUUGCAGUAUGUAACAUCCAUGAGCUAAUGAUAAAUAGAUUACAGGUUACCCCCACCCAUGUCUAGUAAGAACAAUAAAGUCCUACAACAAGCUAUUUUUGCAUCAAACAACACAGUUGCAUUGUUAAUUGUAUAUGGUUCUUGAAAGUACAUAACCUAGAAACAUCUUUUUCACUAUUUCAACAUAGUCUCCUUCCUCUAUUACAAACAAGCUAUUAAGCUAAGGCUCCCAUUCACAUUCUGAAAAAUAUUUUCCCUUUCCAAAACUAAAAAAGAACAUAAAACAAAUUAAUGAUGUGUGUGGUUCUCAAAAUUUUUUUCCUCAACAAUUCCCCACAAACAGUCAUCCCUGUAAACAUAAAAAUUUAAGAUAUAACAAAAAAAAAAAAAAAAAAGCAUUUUUCCCAAAUAUUCUAAAUCACAGAGUCAUGAACAACGGAAAACAACCAUUCUCGUUUCCUAAAUUCACUCAGUUUGAAAAUUUCUUUAACCAAAACAAAUUUUCCCUCUAUUUCAUUCAUGCCAAAAUGAAUCAAAAUACAACAUACCACAAAAUAUAAGACCUUCGGCCCCUAUGUUUUCUCAACAACCAAACGAAUCCUUAAAUGGAAAACUCACAUGUGAUUGAUUAAUCCAAAGCAAGAGAAAACUCCACUUUGGUUUUCAGAAACCUUAAAAAAAUUCCACCUUUGAUGAAGAAAUAUGAAGAUAUGGCUCCACUUUGGCUUCAUUGAAGGUUUUCAGAAGAUGGUUAUCGGGUUUGGGUGGUUAGCUCAUGAAGAGAGACACACUAGGGUUAGGCCAAAAUGCGACGUAGAAGGCUUUGGGAAAAUGGGUAUCCAUUGCCUGGUCAGGACGUCAAUAAACAAAUCGGCUACCUGUCUUUGUGUAUCAAACGAGCUAUGAAAAUGCGAAUUUCCUAAGAUGGGGUUAGGGUAAAAUGAGAGGAAGUGACAAAGAGAGUUUCCCUAAAUUUCCAAUGUUUCUUGGGUCGAGUGUUCUAUGGGUUUCAAAUUUGAGAACUUCAAGUUUCAGAUUUUUGUGCUUAUUAAAUUGCACACCUUCAUGUUGACAUGGACACCGGUGGCUGUUUUGACAGGGAGACAUUAAAGGGCAAUUUUGGAAAUGAAUAUGUAAACAUUAUAUAGUGCACGAGAAAGAUAAUAUUUUCCCCAUUAAUAGGGAAAUCUUAUAUUUCAUUUACGUAGGACUUCAAAACCAUAUAUUUUCCUAAUCAUAGGCUGGCUGAAAUUUAUUGCAUUUUUUGCGAAUAGGACAAAAAAUAAGGACAAUGGUUUGGUGUCCAUUCAGUCGUGCAUUCACUCCUGUGUCUUGAGUAAUAAGCCCUUCCUCAGCUGCAACCCAAUGUCCAAUAUUAGUUAUAACUCAAUGCUACUUCACUGCUCAUUGUUUGGCCAUAUUUUGAGGCCAUCCCGUACAAGUACAAACAUUUUUUUUUUGAAAUUUAAUUUUUAAAAUUAUCAUAACUUAUAUCAAAUUGGAUUCCACUUGAAGUAUUAAAAUACCACAUAUUGAUAUUUAUUUUCCAAACAAUCUUAUUUUAAUAAUAUUUUUUAAAAAAGAAAAAAAUCUCUAAUUUUGGCAACUACUUGACAUAAUCUCAACAAUUCAGUAGUUGAUGCGGAGUGAUAUGAGAUCAUUUUGAUGGGAUAAAAUUCAACAAAAAUUCAAUUCCGCUAAUAAAAUAAAAUUUAUGAUGUUUAACAAUAAUAUAAUAUACAAUGACAAGAAAUAUAAAAUGUACUCAUUUAUUAAUAAAAAAUACUAAAAUUAUAUUUUUGAAAGAAGUCAAUGUAAAAACAUUGAGAGAAUAUAUUUUAAUUUUUUUUAACCAUUGUACUUAUAAAAAACAAAAACCAUGAAUUUUAACCAUGGUCACUAUCCAUGCAUGGGAGGGUAUAUCUGGUGUCCAUUCAAUCCAUGUCUUUAAAAGUUAGUAGAAAGGAACCAAAAGUCAAGCUUGAGAUGCAUAAGUACUUGAGUUGAUGUAGUUGCAAAAGAAAUGAUGAGGUAAAGAGCUAACCAAAAGCCAAGUUAAAAGGUGUUUUUGGGUCAUAAAGGAGUAAAGGUAUGGACCCCAAAAUCAGACCAGUCAUGCGUACAUGAGCAGGACCCAUAAUUUCAACACACUUCUUCGAACUGGGCUUUCUACGGAAUUUUGUUUAUUUUGACAUAAAUACCCCCAAUCGUGGAAACCCAUGUUAUUGCUUUCAUGCUGAUUAGUCAAUACACUAAUCUCAUAUGGGGGGCUGAACCUUAUUCCAUUAGAGACAAAGGAACCUGCAAUAACAUUCUGGCUAUGACACAGGUGACAGGGAGUUCGAUUUUUGUUACUUGUAAAUAUAUGUUUAUCAGUGUAUGUUUUAUAUAUGAAUAGGUAUGCGCAUGCAGACUGACUUGAUUUUGCCCAUGAUGCUUCACAACUUAGCCAUUGCAUUCAAAAUCACCUUCAUUUAUUGGGGAUAAGAGGAUCAACCUUUCUUGCAAGGAAGCAACAAAACCUUCUGUGCCUUCAUCAAAAUCUUAGUCUGUUCCUUUAAUUUCAUCUUUUCGUUCUUCUUUGUAUUUUUCUUAUUUUCUUUGGUUACUUUAAUAAGAUUUGCUCUUUGGUUAAGUUUCACAAGGUUUGUCGCUUGAUUGCAUGGCCUUAUUUAGAGUAGUUUCUUGAGAGAGGAUAGUUUUGAAUUCUGUGAUAAGGACCUUCCUUUAUGUUACUUAUGGAGUUUUCACAAACUGCUGUCCAAGUGAGCAGCUUAGAUAUGCAGUGGAAGAAACCACAGCUAUGAUAUGCAGUCACUUUGUCCUUUAACAACCUGCUUGUUUUUGCCAAUGUUAACCUUCAAAAGGGGAAUAUUUUACCUCUUGACCUUUCCUGCAAAGACUUUUCUUGCUCACUUUAUUCUGCAUGAACCUUUUGGUGCAGAGGAAAACGGUCUGCAAGGACUACUAAUGGUGCCAGCAAUGCUGCAGCAAAGAAGGGCGGUGGAGCUGGUGGUAUGCAAAGCCAGCUUGUUAACAGGGCAUUGGAAGGCAUAUCUCGCGGUGGAAGAAGUGGUAUGAGGGGCAGAGGCAAAGGGUGAGGAGGACGUGGACGAGGAAGGAGCUACUCGUAGCUUCGAUUCCCACCCAUAUUGUGUAACAGAACCAUCAGAACGACGGAGUUAGUAUGAAUCAGAAGAAUACAAACAAGAGUCAUUGAUGUAUUAAAACUCUCUUCUAUUGGAACGAUUUUUUUAUUUAUAUAGGGGCUGCUAAUGAGUUGUUUUCAGUUGUUUUCGUCUAAACCAACAAGAAGUUGGUCAGUAAGCCAGGCAACUGAUGCUUUAUGCGUCGUUAGAAAAGGAAAAGGUUUAAUGAUGAAACGACAGCACAAAAGCCAGCUGAAGGUACAAAUAAAUUAAUCAUGGACAUUACAGUGAAGUUGAGAUUUACUUCUAGUGUGGGGAAUCUCAUGAUUAUUGAGAAAGAUUUAAAGAUCAAAAUCUAGAGAUAGGAGUAAUUACCUUGUUAUAAACACAGUCAACCAGCUCUUCGUAUGUGCCAACAACUGGAUGGAACUCGUAGGGUAGAGAGUAAUUUUGCUCCCUCAGGGACACGUUUUAGGUGAUGUUAAAAAUUGGAUACAAUGGAGAAAAGAAACACUCUCAAAUACUCUCUUGAUACAAUAAAACUCUCAAAGUUACAAAAUAAGAACAAGAAAAAGAAGAAUACAAGAAAGACUCAAACAAGUUCUUGGAACUUUGUCCAAAAACUCUAUUUCCUCCCACCACUAGAAAUCUUUUGGGAACUAAUGGAAAUAGUCUUGGGAUUGAUCAAGCCUUUUCACUUUUCUGCAUAAGAUUUCAAAAAGAAGAAAAGUCAUAUAUAACACUCUUAGGGUUGAAAAAUGGUUACAAGGAUGAGAAAAAACUCAUUGUCUUCCUCAAUCUCUUUAUCUUUGUAACAUUUAAAAAUUAAAUCAUAUAUUUAAUUCACACAUUAAACAUGAUUUAAUCUCAAAUGUGUAACUCUCUUACACUUAACCUCUUAAGUUUUAUAAAGUUACAAAGAUGAGAAGACACAUUGUCUUCCUUAACCUUUCAAGUUUUAUAACAUUUCAAAACUUAAUCAUGUGUUUAAUUCACAUAUUAAAAAUGUAACCCUUCUUACACUUUAUUUUCAAAAGUUAUUUUUCAAAAGUGUAACUCUUCUUACACUUUAUUUUUAACCAACAAUAUAUAUAUAUUUAUAUAAAUAUAACAUUAGGUACCCUGGCCAAAUCACUGGAUCAUCCAAAACCUUCGUGGUGUUUCUACCGCAAUUUUUGUCUCCACCUUCUCUGCUGAGAGGGUUGUCCAAGUCCUGCGUCCAACAGUCAAGCUCCUUGUAGUCCGUUCUAACAACGUUUAUAAUCCUGAACGGCAACGAAUUUGAAUUUGAUAGAUCACCCCCUUCAAAAAUAAUGUUGCCACUUAAACCACUGAAGUUGCUUGAUAAUAUAUUUUUUAACAACAUAUUUGGAGUAUUAGUAUCAUCACUAGCUAAUCUCUCCAGGGCCCGUGUGAUGACAGCAAUGCUAUCAUAUGCUCAUAGUGCAUGAAUUCCAGGCUGGGCGUUGUCUUCCUCUGGGUUUUCGGAUUUAAAUUUUUUCUGAAACUGGGCAGAGAAUUCUAGGAAGGGUCUAUUGGAUUUGGAAUAGUAGGACUUGAUUCCUAGAGCCCCUUCCAUAUAGGGGAUAAAGGAAGUGUCCAUGGAAUCCAGGAAGCUUGAAAUGCUAUCUGUAAUUAUCCAGGCUGAGUCUUUCCCCACAAAAUCCAUCCGCCCUGCUUCUUGGAACAAAUGGGUAGCCAUCGGUAAUGAUGAUUGAAGAACAAUGAAAACCCUGGAUUGUGUGCUCAGAAGCUUCAAGAGCUCUUGAUGGACAUCUCCUCUUGGAUCAGAUAGAGAUGAUAUGGGAGGAAGAGACAAAUGGUACUCGAUCUCCGAUCCAACUCUUUGAAGAGCUUCAGAUAAAAGAGUUAACAUCUCAACGUUGCCACCGUACGCAUCAUCUUCAUAGAUUGCAAUGACCCUUCGCCAGUGAUAGGAGUGAACGAUCGCUGAAAUGCACCUUAUUUGUUCAGAAACAUUGCUUCCCAUUUGUAUCAGGGUGGGCCUUCCAAGCUGCCUUGACGGCCGGACACUGGCUGAUGCCGCCAAUGAAAGAACUGGUACUUGAGCUUGGUCUUCUAUUUCAUCAGCUAAAGCCGAUUGCUGCCACGUAUCCAUGCCCACAAUCACUUGCACUUUGUUCUCUUUAAUCAGUUCUUCAGCUGCAAUUAAUUAAAUGUUAUGAACUCCAUCAAUUGUAUUCCAUUUUUGUUCUGCCGAUUUCAUUCAUGACAUAAUGUAACAAUAAAUGAUUUUUUUUAUUAUUGUUUAUAAUACAAUUCCAAUUUCUAAUUUAUAUAUCAUCCUUUUCAUGCUUUAUAUUUUCUGAGUAUUGAGGCCUAGGAUCACUUACAUAGUAAAUAAUUUACAUGUAUUAUGAGUUGUAUAGAAAACCAAGUCAUAGGUUUCUUGCAAGUUAAUUACUCAUUUAGUGUUGAUCAAGUCAUUUAUUUAAGAUUAUAGUGCACUACCUUCUAAUUGUAGGGAUGACUUAUCUUGAUCUUAAGGAUAAGGUUUCCAUGGUGAAUGCAUUACUAUGAAUAAUUAUACAAUAGACAAAAUCUAUAAUAAUUCAUGAUAUUGAUUAUUAAGUAGUCAUGACUUUACUAAAUUAUUAUACUAUAUAUGCUCUUGAUCUUAAGAAUAUAUUGAGUUAGUAUUGAGAUUUUUAAUAACUUUGACCUAUUUGUAAAAACUUAAAAUGAUCAUAUAUCCCACUUAUGAAGGAUGUUAUAACAUUUACUUUUUUAUAAUAAAAAAAAAACUAAUUAUGUAUUCUAAGUAAACUAGUAGUAGAUAAAUUCAACAGCUAGUUUCUAUCAAGUGUGUAUGGAUACAGUAGGGGGACAGGUCUCAGGAGGCUCCAGCACAUCAGAAGAGGUCACCUUGAGUUCAUAGUCACUGUAGCUGGAAAGACGUCCGGAGGCUCCGUGGGUAUCAAAACGGCUCACUGUUGGCCACCUUGUAGAGAUCCAUUCAUCUCCAGUGGGAUGGGGAGACAAAUUUGACAGUCUUUCAUUAGGAAACUCAGUUUGUCCAUUAUGAAAGAAAUGCACUAAUUGAACAGUCUUCAUCCAGACACUUUCAUCACUUGGGUUUGCAUCACUUCUGGAUGCCUGGUGACGUUUGAAAUCGAUGAGCAGGCGAAGGAAGAACAGUAGAAAGCAGAGAGUGGAAGUGGCGCCGCAUAAAAGGUAGAGAGCCCAGAAGUUCCCGAGGCUCAGUUCAUCAUUUGUGGUGGCUGAACACUCGGCAGAACGAGGAAACCAUUUAUCUUCUAAUUCUUUUAGAAUCCUCUUCUCAGAUAUGGUUAGGAUGGCUUCAGAGACGUCAGUAGCUAGUGGAGAGCCUUUCUGAAAGGCCUGCAUGGAGAUUAACAAGGAUGACAUGACCAAAGCUAAUUUCAUUGUGAGAAUGCUAAACAAAUUCCAUAUGCUAUCCUAUUCCACUGAGCAAUGGUUCAACUAAUUCCUACCCCCAGACAAGGGAUGGGCCAAUUUUCUUUGGGGGAAAAGGGCAUCGACGAAUCAGUUUUGGCCACUUCACACAUUUGAUAAGAAAAGUUAUAGAAAAUUUUAGAGAGUGCAAAUGGGGAAGAGUUCCAGCUACUACUCACAAAGCCUAAUCCUCCGAAUCUGUUGAGGGGUUGACCGGCAGUGUAAUUCUUGCAGAACUGACUAGUGAGAAUUUUUGCAUGAGGAAGGCCAAGAACGGCAGCUGAGAUGUUCCCACUCUGGAAUUCGCCAUGAUAUUGGUUUUGGUUGCAAAUAUUCUUGAUAUGAGCUCCUUCGAAAUUAAACACGUUCUCUAAGUAUUGCCUCACAAAUGAAGCACCAUUACAACCAACCACAGACCUAGUAGCUUUUAGCCAUUCGAUAUCCAUCACAUUGGAAUCAAGUCGUUGGACAGUGAGCAUGGAAGAGAGACUAGCAGUGUAGCUCGAGGUUAAAACGAAGACUACAAACAGCCACACCACUAUCACUACUCGAGUAAUAUUGCUACGAAUUGUCUCCCCUGGGAAAUGAAACAACAGCUAGCUUUCUGAGUAAUUUAAUUAUUGAGCAAACCAAAAUCUCUUCCAUUUUUAAUACUAAUACUAAUACUUACUAUGAGCAAAGAAAAGAGAAGAGAAGGUGAACCAAAGAGCAGUCCCAAGCUGACUCCUCCAUGGGCCUCUGAAUGCCGGAUUAUUGGAUUGGUACUCCAGUACCCAAACUAUGAACAUGGUGUAGA
rnacentral:lncRNA from 1 species